AAGAAAUUGAAAGGAAAAAAAAUAAAAUCUUUCUAAAAUCAGAUUGCAGAUACAUUGGAAAACUAAGAUUAAAUUGAAAAUUCGUCCACAUACAUCAAAGGCCCAUGGGUUUGAGCAAUUACAAUAGAUUGAAUCUAAUCUGAUAAAAUCUUUCCUAAACAAAUCAAUCAGACAUAAUUUAUGACCUAAUUCUAAAUAUUAUAAAAGCCUAAGACAAAAACUAAAAAAGGACGGAAAAAAUUAGAACAAAAAACCCUAAGUUGCUGCAGAAUCCCAACCAAAACACCAAAGCUCCGAUUGAAGCAUUUAGGGUUUCACAUAGAAACCCUAAGUUGACUUGAGCAUCAACCUCUAUUCAACCACCUGGAACGUACAAAAAAAAGACAGACAAAGGGAGUCAGAGGAAGAGAAAACAAAAAGAAAAAAAAAGAAUCAGGAAAGUUGGAAAUUUUACCUUUACCAGAGAUCCUUAUCUCUAUAGGUUGGUAGACAUUGAUACUUACUCUUUUGUUGUUUCUUAGAUGAGAUGGAAUGUAUAUUAAUAUUUGUUGGUGAUUUGUGUUGUUUUAAUGUGGGUUAGGGUUUGGUUUAGGGUCAUCCAGAAGGGGCUCUAGGUUCUUAGAGUAUGAGAUUUUGUUGAUUGAUUUUCGAAUUUGAGGGUUUAAUUCAUUAGCAAAGUGUUUGAAUUUAUGGCCAGGACUCAAGUUUGGAUGGAUUUGGGUGAGGAAGGUGAGAAUUUGGGUUAGGUGAGUGGUUGGCCGAAGGACGGAGAUGAAGAUUCAUAUUCUCCAAGGUAAGGGUUCUUAGGCUGAUAGGAUUCAUGGGUUAAGGUUCAUGAGUUAGGGUUCAUGAGUUAGGGUUCUUAGAUUAUUAGGGUUCAUGGGUUUGGGUUCUUAGGUCGUUAGGAUUCUACUAGGUUUGUGUUAGGGUUCAUGGAGUUGGAUGAAGUCAAUGGUUAGGGUUCAUCAAUUGGGUAGGGUUAUAAGGGCUAAGGUUGAAUGUUUGAAGAUCUAGGUUGAACUUCAACCAGAGAUCUGAGGGUCACGAUGGUGCUAAGGAUAGAAAUAGUGGGGGAUGUUAGUCAGAAGGGAGAGCAUGGAAGUAAGAGAGAAAAGGAGUCUGAAAGAGUGAUAGGAGUGAGAGAAGAAAAGAGGAGAAAAUAAAAUGAAAAUUGGGAAAAGGGGUUUUAAUACUCCCUAGGUUGGGCGCCAGAUCAUCAACACGUGGCCCCCUGAUGGCUGCGCGAUUAGAUGACUUUGACUCAUCUAGUGUGUGUGUUCUUAUCGUCUUCCCUUUAUUGACUUCCAAUCUCAACCUUUCUUUCAGGUUACCUUGACUGGUAUGCUAAGUGGAUGUUUGUGAUGAGUUAUCAUCUGAUCUAUUGGAUUAGGAUCUAACGCCCUAGAGAGAGUCAACCUUUGACUCUCUCCCAUGGACCUAAGACCAGCGCAUUGGGCCUUUCAACUACUAGGAUUAGCACUUUUUCUAUCCCAUACCCCUCAGUUUACCAGCCCAAAGGCUUCUGCAUCCCCAACCUUAUUAUUUCUUAUUUCUCUUUUACUUCUUUCUUUUCUUUUUGAUAUUUCAGUUAGACUAUUACUUAGUUCAUUAGGGUAAUUUUUAAGGUAAAAUAGGAUUAAUUUAUGAUUAAGUGAAUUAACUUAGGAUUAGUUAUGUAAAUUUAGGUUAUUAUCUUAAUUAUAUUUUAAUUUAAGUUAGUUUUUUUCUAAAUCAUAAAAAACAAAUUUAUUUCUUUGUAAUUCACUAUUCAAAAACAACACAAAUAAUAACUAUGUAUAUACGAUGGAUUUAUUUUCUAAACUAAAUUAAAACUAUAUUUUGCAAGCUAAAUUGGUUGUGUGUCACGCCUUAUCAAUCUAUAACUCAACUCAAAAUUUAAAAUCAAUCCAAACACAUCAAAUACUCUUUUCUCCGCCCUUGUGCGUUGAGCCCUUUUUUGAAAUAAACUUUUCUGCAUCCCUGAAUGAUAUGCAUGAAUGCAUGAACGUAUGGAUGCAUGCAAAAAUGAUAUUUUUAAGUUUAUAGGGAAUCCUGGGAUUGUCAAUUGCAUAUGAGUAGACAUAAAAUUACAGAAAAUAAGACAAAAGAUAUAACCAAUAAUGGAAAAUACUCAUUUUAUUCACCGGGGAAGAACAAAGAGUACAUUAUUAAAACUCUGGGAUUUGCUCGAUGAACUACAAGAAGAUCAACUUUGAACCUCUCAAUCACAACCCUACAAAAAAAAGUGAAAGACAACCCUAGGAGUAUUGUGUGGAAGCAUGUUUGCAUAAGCUUCCUUCAGCAUGCCCGAGAGAUCUUCAAUUGUAUGGUCAACAAACCUAGCCAAGUGUGCAUGUUUAUCCCUCCAAUAUUAUGCAUAAUUUAGGAGAUUAUGCAAUAAAGUGAGGAUAGAUCCAUGUAAGAGUAUUUGUAGAAAUGAUUAUUUCUGAUCAAGGAGAACUUUGAGGUAACGACAAUGUCGCUCCCAUUAAGAAUCUUAUUUGUUGAGUUGAUUAAUAACUUCUUAACUCUAAUGUGCUUUCCCUUUCAACUCUAUGAUUUCUUCAAAAACCUUUUCGAUAUCACAUUGACAUCGGUAAAGAGAAACCUCAAGCUUCUUAGCAUUUAUUUUCUCUUUCUUCAACUGUUCUUUGAAAUCUUUCAGUUGGUCUCGAAGUUCUUUGAGUUGGCCUUCAUAGCUCUCUUCCAUCUCUUUGCGAGAUUUCAGAGUUUGCUUCCAAUUGGUUACCACUUUUCUAGCAUGACACUGAGUCUUAGCAAGUUGAUUUUUCUUUGUAGAGAGGCCAACAUAAUUUCCCUUAAGAGCUUCAUCCACCUUUCUUCGCUUGUUAUGUUCAUCUUGAGCAACCUCAACAACUUUGAGCGUAUGCUCUCUCUUCUGGUUGAGAUUGAUCUUCAAAUCUUCCUUCUCUUGAGUAAAUCUACCAAGAUCAGAUUGCAAAUUUUCAUUCUCCUUUUCCAAGAGCUUGAUAGCAUCCUUAAGCUUGUCAACUUGCGAGAUAGGAACAAUAGAAGGUAUAAGAGGCUUUAGGCUCAUGGAAAGUUCCCAAGGGUAGGGAAGUUUUACGACUUUGACUCUUUGCUUGACCCAAUAAGUGUAAGGCUCCAAAGUAAUGCAACUCUGUUUUCCAAGUUCCUUUUCCCUAAUGUGGUGGAUUUUUCCUCAUGCACAAGGUAUCUAUUUCAGCAAUUAAGGAUCAUCAACCCCUUCAGCUAACACAAAUUCUUCCAACAAUUCGUCCUCAGGUUUGUUCUCCACUAGGUAACCAAGUUGAUGCAAUGAAAGAACAAGAUUGUAGUUAAUACUUCCCUUAGUACCAAUGAUAUGCACAUUAUGAAAGUCAACAUAACUAAAUAAUUUAUAUAUCCCAUCAUAGCCAUGGUUGUACCACACUAUAUCAUCGACAUUCAAAGACAUAAACCUUUGAGACCACUUCAGAGCUCCCAUAUUAUCAACAAAAUGCCAUUUCCUUGGUAAGUGGGUCAGAAGCCACUUAUAAAGCAAAGGAACGUAGUAGUUGAUCAUCCCAACCUUCUUUUUAUUCCUCCAAUGGAAGGAAAAAUAGAUAUCGCCCAGAAGUGUGGGAACAAGAUUUCUGGAUAAGAAGAUGUUGUCAACAACCUUAUUAACGAAGCCUUCAACAUUUAGAAACAAUAUCAAACCAUAAAUGAGGAGAGAAAAGAUGGCAUAUAAAGCAUCCCAACUUCCACUAUCAGCAAAUGUGGUAUCUUUUUCAAUCAGAAACUUUGAGGGAAAUCCUCUGGUGUUGCCUUUGGUACGAAUGUUAGAUUCAACCAUUUCCUUUUUUAGAUGAAGAGCUUGAGCUAUCAGUGCAGACUCUGGAAAACCAUCCAAGAUUAUGUAUGGAACCUAAUAUUUGGUUGGAAUAUGUAAGAUAUGAUCAAACUCUUCCAAAGUAGGAGCGAAUAGGAAAUCCUAGAAGGUGAAACAGUGCAGAGUAGGAUCAUAGGACUGUGCAAAUGCGAGGAUCAAGCUAGUGUCCUCCUUAGUAAGAAGAAUACUACACAAGUUUCCACAAGUCUUCUUGAAGGCAUAUAUGUGAUCAUCAACUAAGUGAGCUCCAAUAUUCCUUAACUCAUAUAGCUUGGGUUCCCUGAGUUUGUACUAGAAAGUGUUUCUUCUGUCGGAUUUUUCUAUAACUGAAUAUUUUAGUAUUACUGGAUGAUUGUGGAUUCCUUGAAAAUCAUGUACAUGCUAAAAUGAAUUUCAUGUGGAUUAAAUGCAUACAUGUAUGCAACAUCCAUGUAUUCAAAGGUUCGUCGUAUUCUGCAUAAUCUGAAUAUACUUCUUGAUGCAGGUUCAAAGGUCCGACAUAUUCAUGAUAAUCAAGGUAUGUAGAGUUUUGGGUUUCCUGUAAACGCAUAUCCCCUCAUAGGUAGCUAAUAUUCUUCAAAGAAAGAGGUUUCUAAAAAGGUCCUUAGAGUCACAGACCCAUUUUGAGAUACCACUACCUAGAAUGAAUGACUCGUCGGACAAUGAUGCUCCCAAAAGGAUCUACUUUAGGGAUGGCGUCUCGUGUUAACGACGAUCGAGGCAUAACACCAAGGAGGUCAACAUGACUCUACCACUAACUAUCCUGUGUGUAUACUCAAGCUCGGGUAUAGAGAUUUUCUCUCAUGUAACAUCAUAAACCUCAACCCAUAACAGAGAAUAUAACAGAUAUUCAAAAUAUGAUAAAUAUAUAAAGCAAUAAAAGCAAUAAAAGCAAAGCAUGUAAGAGUAAAUAAAGAUGAAAUAAGAUAUGGAAAGUAAAAGAAUAAAGCUAAACACCAAACACACAAAUAAAACAACCAAAACUAGGCUUGACUUACUUAUGGACUCCCUAGCAGAGUCGCCAACUGUCAUGCCACGAAAAAUACCCAAGCGCAUCACACGCUUGAAAUACAAUAGAGUCACCACCAAACUUUAUUUAUUCCAAAGGAAAGGGAAAAUAUAGAUAAAACCCAGGGGGAAGAGAAAGAGGGUAAUGAAGUCGGUUAUGCAAGGGGAAUGUAUUAACACCUCUUACAUCUGUUGUACUCAACAGGAACCAUUUUGAUUGUUCUUUGGGUGGAUGGGUGUUAUUAUCUAAAGGUUACUUGCGAUUGAAUUUAAUAAAGGGGAAAAUAAUUUUAUUAAUUAAUGUGUUCGCCAAGGAUUCAAACCCUAGUUCCUAUGUAUUCUCAUAGUACAAUGAGAAAAUCAGAGCUCCAUAGUUCAUGGUAGAAAACUACGAAUUUGUUGGUUGCUUUUAGUAACAGUUAUAAUCAUAUCUUGGAAGUAGUUUGAUGUUAUCUGAUUUGAUCCUAGUUCUGAUGCUCUAAGCUUUUAGUAUGACUGCUAAGGAACAAAUUAUAACAAUUCUUUUUGAAAUGAAAGAAAUUUGUUCUUUGAAAAGGUUUAAGAUUGAAUUGAAUUGAAAAAGCUUAUGAAUGUUUGUAAAUAUUUGUGAAAUGGUGAAGGUGUUGUUUAGUAGGGUGAAAGUAUUGAACGAUAUGGUGAAAGUAUUGUUUGUACCAAGAUUGUAUUGUUUGAACCUAUAAAGUGGUGUCUGAACCAUGAAAAAGAAAUAAAAGUGGUGUUAAAAACCAAAGAGAAAAUAAAUGUGGUGUUUAAACCAAAGAUAUGGAUGUUUUAACCAAGAUGGUGAUUAACCCAAAGAGAAAAUACAAGAGUGGUGUUUAAACCAAAGAUAAAAUAAAGUGGCACUUAAACCAAAGAGAAAAAUAAGAGUGGUGUUUAAACCAAAGAGUAUGGCGUUUAACCAAUAACUGGUGAUUAUCCAAGGAGAAAACAAAAGUGGUGUUUAAACCAGGAGUGUGGUAUUUAAGCAAUAAUUGGCGAUUAGCCAAGGUAGAGUUGUAGGAUUUUUCCUAGAUCGAGAAUAAAGACCUAUAAAUAGGGGGUUUUCCUAAGCAUUGGGCCUGACAAGGAAAAUAUGCAUGAAAAGGGGUUUUAACCAUAAGAAGGUGAUUAACCCAUGCAGGAGGUAUUUAACCAAUAACUAGUGAUUAAACUCAAGUGUUGUGUGUGGUUCAGAGAUGUGUGUUUAACCUAGAGAAUGUGAUUAACCCAUGUAGGAGGUGAUUAACCAAGAGUAGGUUAUUAACCUCAAGAGUUAUGUAUAUUCAAAGAUAAUUGUGUUUGAUCGAAAGAGAAAGGUAUAAUUUAUGGGGAUUGUUGAAGUGUUGUCUGUGGGGAAGAAAGUUUGAAAGUUGUUUGAUUUGAAUUACACUAAAGUCUAUGAAUGGGGGUGAAUUCUUUGAAUAACUGGGGCAUUUGUCUCGUAUCUAAAGGUAUUCAUAACAAGGGUAGGAAAUAUCCCUCUCAUUUUUUUCCAUUGCUUAAGACUUGUGGCACACAAGUCACAUCGUAACUAACAGGUGUUUUGAAAGAGAAGAGUCUUUUUGUUUGUUUUGAAAAGGGUGAGGCAAUGUGAUUGAAUGGAUGAAGCUCGACAUGAUCAUGUCUUGAUGUUCUUCCUUCUUCAUGAUGUCCUGAAUGUGAAUGAUGAGUUGACUUUAUAGGUCAAGUUUAAUGCAAGUGUAAAAACCUAAUUAAAUCAAGUGAUCAAGGGACUUUUGGUCACUUGAAUGAAUAAGGAUCUUGAGGGGAGCAUGCCAUUGUUAAUGAAAAGUCAUACAAGUCUAAUACUAAAUGUAAUUAAUUAACCAAUAAUGAACUUGACCAACUAAUCAAGGGGAUGAACAUUCCAAGAAUCAUACACUAAACACAUGAAAAUAUGAUAAAGAAAACAAUGGAUUAAAAAUUGAAAUUAAUCAAGGUUAAUCCAAAUAUCUAAUGUGUUCCUAAUUAAAACAAAAGGGGAUUAAAUUAUAACUAAAAUGAAUCCAAUCUAAUUAAAAUAUAAUGAGAGGGAGCAUGAUGUUUUUUAUGUAUAACAAAAAAAGAAAAGGAUUAAAAGAGUAAGAAAAAAACAAUUCAAUAAUAAAUAAAUAAAACACUCUGCAGGGGGUGUAUUGCUAAAACAAUGGGUUUGAUCAGUAAAAGGCGUUCGGACUAGCAUUGAAGGCUCGUGAUUGUUUGAGUCUUGUUUCAGAGAGAGGAUGUGUGUAAGAAACCCUAGGGUGUGUGGCAGUAAAGCCCAUUGGGCUUAGUGGCUUGAAGGCCCAACGCUAAUGGGAAAAGGGUGAAUGAAUCAGAAUCAUCACCUCAUUUCAUUUUCACACUUCAACCACGCUUCUCUCCCUCUCUUAUGAAGAAUCUCAUCGAAAAUAGCUCUGCCGUGCCGGAGGCGGCUGAGCAACCCAGUUCACCCUAAAACCACCACCAAUCUGCUUGUUUCUUCCUCCUCCUUCCAUUUCUCAACUCCAAUUCACCUAGAUUUCAAAGAAAUCUCCAAACCACAAAAAAGAACACAAGAACCCUAAAACACAUAUACAAAAUUAAAUGGUCAUGGAGGGGAAUCAAAGCAAGAAACCUUGGGGCUUUAAUUCCCCUCGUCUUUCUCUACAUCUUGGCAUCACAUUUGAAGCGAAACAAAAGAGUCAAGUGAAAUAUCUUACUUGCAAGGCAGAGGUUCACCCCCUGGUGAUUGCUGAAGAUUGAAGAAGAAGAUUAUGAAGAGAAAACCAGAGAUAUUAACAGGUAUGUACUUCGAUGCUCCAACCUUUCCUUGGAAUAAUUUAUUCUUCUUCUUCUCUUGAACAUAGUCUGUAGGAACUUAAGAAUUUAUGUUGUUGCUAAUGCAUAUAGAGAGUAGAGAGUGUAGAGAGUGUGGCUUCAACUCAGUUGAAGUAAACUUUAGUGUGAAGUUUUCUCAACAACGGCGGAUUGGAGAUUUGUGUAUUGGUGAGGGAGAAGAGAGAUUGAAGAUAAAUUCAGGGUGGAGAUUCAGAGUGAGUGGUUAAAGAUGAUUGAAGAUGAAUUGGUGGUUAUAGAGACAUUGAAGUGGAAUGAGUUUGGUAACUGUUUAGGGCAGAGUUUAGGGCAGGUGAGUUGAAGGUUAGGUCAGGUGUUAGUUUGGAUGGAGAUUAGUUAAUUAGUGAGAAAAGUUGUUAGGAGGUUUAACAUUGUUAGUUUGGUGGUUAAUGAGUUGAAAAUUUAGUUAGGGUAGUUAUGAAUUGUUAUGGUUGUUAUGGAUUUGUUUAGUAGGUUAGUUGGAAUUGUUUGUUUGAAUGUUAGUGAUCUCAAAACUGUGACAGUUAGGUUAGUUAGGUAAGUGGUUAGUGAAAUAUGUUAGGUUAGUUAUUGAGUAUGUUUUGAAAUUAAAACUGUUAUGAUGUAGGUUAUGAGACUGAGUUAGAACUUCUAUGACAAUUACAAUUUGUGGUGUUAGACAGUUAGAAAUUAAUUUGUUUAGUGAAUAUCCUUUUUAAUUGUUAGUGCAAAUGUGAAAUUAUGAAUGUUGAAUUGCUUGUACUGUUAUUGUUGUUGUAUUGACUGAUAUUAGUUGGAAGCUUCAAUGAAAACUAUUAAUGAAUUCGUGUAGAAAUAAUAUUGGUUAGGAGGUUAUGUUGGAAAUGUAUGAUUGAAUUGGUUAGCUUUUAGAUAGUUCAUUGCUUGAAUUGUUAUGUGAAUUGUUUGAACUAAAUUAGUGUCUUUAGUUAAAAGUUGAUUAAUGCUAGAAGUUUAGAAAAAUAAAAGGUUAAGCUUAUGUUGUUAGCUAGUGAUGAAUCAAGUUAAUUUGUUAGUGAAUUUGGAUGGACUGUUAAAAGCAAGUGCAUUGUCAAAACAUGAUCAAAUUAGUAAUGUGGAAUUAUUAGAUGGUUAGAGUUUUGGAACUGCUAUGUCAUGUUAGUAAGCAUGUUAGUGGGAUUUAAGUGGAUUGGCUUAUGAGUUUAGUGGCAUUGGUGUGUGUUGAAUGUGUGUGUAUGUAUUGAAUGGAUGUCAUGGUUAUACUAGGUAUGAAGCAUAAUUGAGUUAUGUGAAUGUGUCCUUAUAAUUCUAAAUGGUGCAGGGCUGAAGUGCAUAUGGUGGAGUGAACAAGACUUAGAUUGAAGAUAGCAUCAUCAAGAUUGGCAUGGCAUGCAUAGCAUGGCAUCAUGGUGAUGGAGUUUUGUCAUAUUGUGAAGAAAUUGGAAUUCAUCAAGAACAUGGAGGAUUUGAAGAAUAUUGAAGGCAUAAAUGGAGGAUCAAUAAGGAAGAAGAUCAAAGUAGCCUAGUGUAACACCUCAAAAUUUGCCCUCCUCUUCUUGGGACUAGUUUAGCAUAUUGCAUUUCAUGUUUUAGGACAUUAGGCAUUCGCAUAUUGCAUAUCAUAUGGAAUAAGAUAUCAUCCUCUAAUGUCUUGUUCAGAAGAUGGAGGUGGUAUAUGGUUCAAGCCUGAGGGUCUUAUUGAAUUGAUGAUCAACCAUCUGAGGGAAACGUCACGUAAUCCCAAAGAACUAGGAAGUUUCCAUGAGCAGUGUCUUGAUUGCAAGGGUAUAUUACCAUCAUCAUGGUUAUGUCAUCCUCAAGGGCUUCACUGUGCAUGCUCAAGUUCCUUGGGGUUAGGGUUUUGACCUCUGGUCAACCCUAAUCAAUGCAUUCUUCCAGUCAGGGUUUAUCAAGGAGAUGAGGUAUUUGUUGAUGAUGAAGAUCACAUGGUUAAAUGGAGAGCUUAUAUGGGCUAGGGGUUUCAUUUCUGAGCCAAUUCCUCAAGUGGUGGAGGUUCAAGGUCAUCAGUGCAUUGCCAAGUCAUCUGGCGCCCAUAAAAGUUAACUGAAAGCUAGGAGGUGGAGAAAUGAGUAUCAAAACUUCAUUCAUGUCCAAAAGAGGUUUGUUCAUCAUGUCAAACAUCAAUCUUGAAGAAUUUGAAGCCAGAUCAAAAGUUUCCCAAAAUGAAAAGUGACCUGUAAUUGAAAGUUUCCAAAAAUGGAAAGAUUUUGGUUCAAAUUCAACUUGACUUUCCAACAUCAAAGAAGCUUCAAAUGAACUUUUGGUGUACAUGAAAGUUGAAGAUCUUUCUCUCCUCUUUCCAAAAAGUCCUAUUUCAUGGAUUUAUGAUGAAUGUUGAGAAGUUAUGAUCCAAUGAUUGCAAAGUGUGCAGGAACUUCAACAUGGCAUAACUUUUGACUCAAAACCCAAAUGAAGCCACUUCUUUUGCAAAAUUCUUGUCUGACCUAUAUUUCCAAAUCUUCAUUGCAUUGCAUGAAAUUAAUCACAUGAUCAUUUGUUCAUGCAUGUUCAUUUUGGAGCGAAAGUGAAAUUCAAAUUUGGUGCAAGCUACAAACAUAAUCCAAUCCCAUUGUGUUCUUAGGUGAUUUGAGUGAAUGUGAAGAUUGCAUGCUACUGUUCACGUGUGAAUUUGCCAUGCACCACACACUUUUCAAUUUUGUCAUGCACCUCAUUAUUUGAUUAACUUUUCAUUAACCAUGCUUAAUGAAUUUUCAGCAUGAUUACACAUAGUAUAAGCUUAAUCAUAACAAAUUGUUCAUAACAUCACAUUCUAGAUUCUCAAAUUUGCUUUCCCUCCAUUUUUGCUCUCAUUUCAUAAUUCAAUUUAUUUCACAUAACAUUCUUGAUUUUAUGCAUCAUCAUGAUCACUAAGCUUCAUUGAGUAUGAUCAAGCUUUGGAUUUGAAGAAUUGAGCCAGAAUCAAGCACAUAAGCUCAAGAACAUGAAGAUGGAAGUUUGCAAUUCUGAUCAAGAUCCCAGCCAUUUCAAGCUUCAAUCGUGGCCAAACUUCAAUAUACAAGUGAUAGAGGAGAUCUGGACAUUGCUAGGCCUGAUAUACGUUGUUUCCUCAUUCUCUUCAAGAGGUUGGAAAUUCGAAACUCUUGAUUCUUCUUUUUAUUGCAUAAGACGUUGUAGAGCUUUUCAUGCUGAGAAUUCUGAUAUAGAUUUCAUGGAAAAUGGAUGAAUAUUGGUUGAGUUAUGUUGAUUUGAAGUUUGUGUGUUAAAAAUGUUUUCAAUCGAUUUACAUGAACCAUGGACUUUUAGACUUAAUUAAUGUUGGAUUCGUGUUGUACAUGAGAUAAGUUUUCGUUUGUAUUAAGCCAUGCGCGUUUCUGGAUUUUUUUUUGGUGUUCAUCACUGUAGCUCCGCCGUUCCAAUGAAGAAGACGGUGGAAACCACCGUCCCUCCACCGCGCGUGAAUAGUGUGCGUGCUUCCUGGUUCAAGCGCCUAGGGCUCACUGUUUGAGCGCCUGUCACCAAUGUGUCUCGUGUUCGAUUCCACCUUGCCAUGCAUUUUUUUCAUUUCAUUUGUUUUCCAAUUUUGAAACGGCUGCGUUUUGAUCCUAGCGCGCCAUACCUCCAUUCGAUUCCCGGCUCCAACACUUUUUGUGAUUUAUUUCUUCAGCGCCUUCUAUUUUUUCAUGUACAUGGUUCGAUUCCCACUGACACCAUAUUUUCAAAUUCUAUCAACCUUUUCCAUUUCCCUCCAAUUAUCAUAUGAUUUGCUUCAUUUUAUUUCAAUAUUUUCAUUCAAUUUGCAAAAAUCAUAACAAAUAGAAAAUGAAUCCAAAUCACUUCCAAUUUUUUGCUACAUGUUCAUAUGGAUGCCUAUUAUUUUGUGGUUGUGAUUUCUUGAUUUUAUCAUUUCUGGAUUUUUAAUUGUGGACUGUUAUUUGAACAUGAUGCAAAAUGUGACAUGUUAUACCAAUUCUUUUGUGAAAUGCUCAUACAUUUUCCAAUUGAUUUGAAAUUUGAUAUGCUGAUUCCCAACAUGUUGCUUGAUUUUUGAGUCUUGGUUGUGCAUUUUUAUCAUUCUUCAUCUCUGUUUUAGACACAUGAAUGUAUGGUGUGACAAUGUGUGUCACACAUUUUGAUGUUGCUCUUGUUCAUUUUCAUAUACAUGUCAAUUGAGCUUUUCUGAUUCCAAUUUUUUGCAUGAUGCUUGUGUUUAACAUGUUGUAUGCACAUAAAAAUUUCCAUGGUUAUUUGACUCAUUUCUGUUUUAAUAUGGAAUUUCUACUCUUAAUGUCCAAUUGUGUGCUUUGUAAUUGCCUUUGCCUUAUUUUGUGCUUUAGAUGGCUCUUCUUAUUGAUUUGAGUUUGAUCCUUUUUAGGACAUGUUCUUACAUGAAUAAAUAUGCUUCAUGUUGAAUAUUGGUUGCUGUUUUGACUUUUUGCUUUACCUUUGACCCUAGUCUUGGUACUAGUGGUUUGUACUCACCUUUUGAGCUUUGCAUUUCAAGUUCAAGCUUCUAGUCUUAAUGGUUGAUGCAAUCUCAUGACUUGAGAUGCAAAUCUGCUUUAUCCACUAACCUUUGUUGUGUUGUAGGUUCCUUGGUGAUGAACUCACUUGAGUUGUUGAUUUGUUGACUUGCCUUGUGUGCAUAUUGGUUGUAACAUUGUUGACUGUUUGUUGGAUUUGUCUGAAUGUGAAUAUUGACUUGUUUGACUUUGUUACAGGUACUUUAGUCGCUUUAGCUCAUUGCUUGAGCUUUGCUUUGCUUGUGGUUGGUAUACCACUAAGGUAACCUCUCUAACUCCAUGUAGUCUGGAAGCCCUGUCGCUUUUUUGGCAGGCGUUUGGCUGAAGUCCUCCUUAAGAGGCAAUGACUGUGUUUGUUUACAUUUGUGCUGUUACUUGUUAAAGUCCAGUAGUCUGGAAGCCCUGUCGCUUUUUUGGCAGGCGUUUGGCUGAAGUCCUCCUUAAGAGGCAAUGACUGUGUUUGUUUACAUUUGUGCUGUUACUUGUUAAAGUCCUCCUAAGUGAAGAGGCAAUUGGCAGAUAGAAGCGAUUAGCAAUCAAUCCCCUGCUAAUCGUUUGAGUCGUUCAUUAAGCUCGCACUACGUGCUGAUGCUCUUGAACCUAACCCAAGAUCUUUGUAUAUAGAGUCAGUCAAGUGGAGUAGGGUCCCACAUUCUGGAUCCCCAUGUUUUCAUUUAUUCAAGCUCACCCAGGCCAGGGUUAAGAGCUAUGAGGUCCAACCCUCAUUACCUUUCAUCUUCUCACCCUGACGGUCAAUGUCAGUGGUUAAGAGCCUCAGACACCCCUUCCAGUGUUGGCUUGUUUGUCGAGGUUGAUAUGACCCCUUGACUAAAGCCCAACCUUAUAUGAGCCGCUUGUGUGCAUAUAGAAUGUGAUGAUUGCUUUUAAUGUUUAUCUGCUUUUGCUUCUCAUCUCCUUUCUGUAGGAGUCGUAUGAUCAACUUUCGAGGAAGUUGAACGUACGUAGAGAUAGACUUGAGUUGACUCACUACCUGUGUGAGUCAAACUCUUGUUAGAGACCUCAACCUAGGGUUAUAAUUUGCAUGAUGACUAUUAGGCUCGAGUCAGUCUCUCUUUUAGUCUGUUAUUCCCUUGGUCUCUGGUUAGGAGAAAGUUUCUCCCCUGUUAAGGGGAACUACGUUGCCCUGAUCCUCAUACCAGAUGAGGUACGUAGGCAGGAGAUCGUGCGAGAUCUCUCCGGGCACCCUUUUUCUUUUUUGCGUGUGUUUUGCUUGACAACUACUAGGCUCGAUUUCAGACUCCCUUUUAGUUUGUCAAUUGGAGAACCUUUGGUGUUCGCUGGUUAGCGAUUACUUAUUUGUUUGGAGUCGGAUGUAAGUCCAGGUUUGGCAUUCUGUUUCCUGGUUUGUUUGUGUUUGGAGUCGGAUGUAAGUCCAGGUUUGGCGUUCAGUUUCCUUGUGCUGUUUGUUUGGAGUCGGAUGUAAGCCCAGCUAUUGGCAUUCCGUUUCCUUGUUGAGUUUCUUUUGACGUCUCAGCGUCUUUGUGUUGUGUUUUGUUUCGGCGUGCGUUAGCCGAACUACGACAUCUCUGAUUCUCAUUCCAGAUGAGAUACGUAGGCAUAGGAUGCGAUAUCCUAGCGAGCCCGUUUCCCCUUGUCCCCGAACUACGUCGACUCUGAUGUUUGUGUCUGACAAACUACGUAGGCCCAGGAUGUGACAUCCUGCCGAGUCCCCUUCCUCCAUCUUCUUUCACCUUUUUGCUUAUUCCAGUGUGUGUGCAUUCUUUGAGCAGUUUUUCAGCAACCUUUUUCUAUUCUUUUGAGCGUGGAUCCCGUCGAGUACGACGGACGUGAGGGGCGCUAAUACCUUCCCCUUGCGUAACCGACUCUCGUACCUUGCAAUCUCUGGUCGUAAGACCAUUCCUUUCCCUUUUUCAGGUUUACUUCGAGCGUUUCCUUUCCCUCCUUUGGGAUAAAUAACGCACGAGGUCGUAAGACCAUUCCUUUCCCUUUUUCAGGUUUACUUCGAGCGUUUCCUUUCCCUCCUUUGGGAUAAAUAACGCACGGUGGCGGCUCUGUGUCUUUUCCCGCCGGUUGUUUUUCGUGUUGCGACAGUUGGCGACUCUGCUGGGGAAUAAUAAGAAGUUGACCUCUGACUGGUCCAUCUUCCCUAAGCUAGUCGAUCCUAGCGCUCUUUAGGAUAAUUUUGGUUGCUUUUGCUGCUCUAUUUAUUGCAUUUAUGAUUAUUAUACUAUGAUUGUAUAUAUUUGUAUAUGUGUUUGCAUGCAUCAUAUUAUCAUUGUGCUGGACUUUGUACAGGUUGGUUCCUCUGAUUUGGGGUGGGUGUUCUGAGUGGGGCUAAAACCCAGACCCGAGUAUACACCUAGGAUUAGCGUGGUCUCACGUUCUUUCCCGGAUCUUUGGUUUAGAUGAUCUUAUGAGAGCUGCAACGGCACACCCGAAAGGGCAAACCCGUUAAGUAUCUUGUCCGAUUGUCGAGACCAUUAUCCGCCUUAGGAUGACCUUGUUAGAAUUCACCUGUGAGGGGAGGGUUUGAUUCCUGCAGAUGCAUGUUCUGAUGGUGACUUUCUGAUGGUGACUAUUGGUUCAGUUUUGAGCUCGGUCCUAUGUGUGAGGCGGAUUUAUGGAUUUAUUUCUGAGAUGCCGGAGUUCUGUCCGUGGUAUUUAUCAGUGGGGAUCCGUUUAUUUCAGGAUUCCCUGGGUUGGUACAGAUGAUUUUGUUGUUAUCAGAUCAGUGGUUUUCCAGUGAUGAUGGUGAUAUAUCCUUCGGUUCCGUUUAUUUCGGAACUCUGAGUUGGAUUUAUGGUUGCUCAGUACCUCAGAUGGUUGUGAUUAGUUUAGAGACCAGGGCUUCCAUGCAGUGGAUGUUCAGAUGACUUGGAGGAUGGCAUAGUGCAUUGCAUUCAUACAUCAACAUCAUUCCCAUCUUGCAUUUAUCCACAUCUAACUCAUGUUUAUCCAUAUGCAGGGGACAUUCUUGAUUGAAAUCCUGGUUGAGAGACUUCUUUGCUCCAGAUAUGAGGCCCGACUUGAAGAAUGAUGUUGUAUACAGUUUCUUUGAUCCAGAGAUUGAUGCACUGAAAGAGAUGAUAGCAUUGAUUACACCUGACCAUGUGGGGAUGUUCCGUGAGGCUUAUGGACUUGAAGAAUGAUGUUGUAUACAGUUUCUUUGAUCCAGAGAUUGAUGCACUGAAAGAGAUGAUAGCAUUGAUUACACCUGACCAUGUGGGGAUGUUCCGUGAGGCUUAUGGGGGUAUUCUGAAGGUGUUUUUCAGGCUUACAGAUGAUGAUAGGAGCGUCAUCCAUACUCUUCUCCAGUUUUAUGACCCUGGUUUGAGAUGUUUCAUCUUCCUGGAUUACCUGUUGGGACCUUUGAUGGAAGACUAUGCCAGUAUCCUGGGUAUUCAGGUCAGGAACCAGAUUCCAUUCUAUGUCACUAAGGAUGAACCUGAUGUUGCUGAGAUCUCUCGUGCUCUUUAUUUGAUCCCAGAAGUGACUAAGGGGGGUUUGAAGGAGAAGGGAAAGUUGCCUGGUUUUCAUUUGAGUUUCUUGGAGGCCAAAGCCAAGGAGCAUGUUGUUUUAGGUGAUUGGAAGGUUGUCUGUGCUCUGCUUGCUGUGAGCAUUUAUGGAAUCAUCUUGUUCCCUAAUCAGAAGAACUUUGUAGACAUUAAUGCCAUCCGGGUGUUUGCGCAGAGGAAUCCUAUUCCUACCUUGGUUGGGGAUGUCUAUUACUCGGUCCAUAAUCGGAACGAGAAGCGGCGUGGUGGAUUGAUCAGAUGUUAUGCUCAACUAUUACACAAAUGGUCCAUGGGAUAUUUGCCUUCCAGAGGUGCCUUUGUCUUUCUUGACCAUACUGUGAAUUGGGCGACCAAACUGAUGGGUUUGCGAGCCAAGGACAUAGCUUGGACUCACAAUGGUGUGGCGGGACGAGACUUCAUUUACAGUUGUGGGAGCUUUCCCAAUGUGCCUCUCAUAGGAGUUCAGGGUUGCAUUAAUUACGACCCGACGCUUCUUAGGAGACAAAUGGGGUUUGCUAUGGAGGUUCCUCCUCUCGAGUGUGAGAUUCAGGAGUCUUUCUAUUUCCCGGCUGAGGGUAAUCCGACACGGUUGAGGCAAGUGUCUGGAGCAUGGCGUAACAUUCAGAGAAAGGGCAAGGUUCCUUUUGGUAGGGUUAAUAAUAGGUCUUUUCCUCUGUUUGAUGAUUGGCUCAGAAAGAGGAUUGAGCUCACGCAUCUACCAUUUCCUGGGGGUGAUCCUUGGUAUCCAUUGAUUGAGGGGCCAUGUUCUUCUGUCAGUAUGGAAGAAUUCCUUGAGAUGAAGAGGGAGAGAGAUCAACUACAGGCAGAGAAGAUUGAGUUGGAAAUGAGUGUUGCUAGAAUCCAAAUGGCUAAUCAGGAAAUCAAAGGGAAAAUAGAAGACCAGGAUAAGAGGCAUGCCUUGGAGGUGAAGCGCUUUGAGAUAGACACCGCCUAUUACUGCAAGAUCAGCCAAGCUUUGAAGUCAUCUACAAAGGAGCACGAUAUCACCAAGGAGAAGUUGGCUAGAGCUUUGAGAGUCAUUGAAGAUGAGAAGAAGAGACAGGUCCUUGUGAAGACUCAGAGGGAAGCCAAAGUCAAAGUCCUUAUCGCCGAGUGGGAAGCAAAGCUGAAGGUUAAGGAAGAAGAGAACGCGAAGAUUAUUGCUGAGAGAGAUCACUAUCUUGCUGAGAGGGACCAUUAUUUCCGACAGAUGAAGAUUCACCAGAAGGAGGUGGGGAGACUGCAGCAGGAGAACACUGAGCUCAGGUUCGCCGUGAAGUUUACCAAGAUGGUUGAUGAUGCAGAGCCGUCUAUGGGACCUUCUUCAGUGUAGACUUUUGUUGUUAUGUGUGGAUUACCGUCAGGCAUGUUGACGGAAUUCACGUGCUUGUAUUUUCUUUCUGAUUCUGGAGAAUUGUAAUUUGAUUUGUAUCAGCCUGAUGUAUGACUCUCGCACGUACUGUGCGCUUUUGAUAUACAAUGGUUGUUAUCAUUCGGUGAUCGAUCUUCAAGCUUUAUUUGCUUUCUGUGCACUCACAUAAUACACACAUGGUCGGGUGAUAUCUUUGCUAAAUCAUAACUCUCUGCUCUGUAUGGUGAAACCAGAUGAUUGAUGCCAAAUUGUUGCUGGCGAAUUAUUAUCUGUCUCGACGAAACCAGGAUCAAAAGACAGAGUGUUCCUCAUAUGGAUAGACAUUGCAUUCAUGCGUGAGUCAUAAUAACCUGUCUUCUGUUUUGCAGGUGUCAGUUUCUAACAUGUUUGAUUGACUCAGGAACGAUGAAUCCACCCAACGCUGACAUUCUCGAGCUGAAAGAGAAGAUGAGUGAGCUGAUCAGUGUCAUGCAAGAGUUCGCCUUGGGGCAGAAAGCAAUCGCCGAGAAGGUGGAGAGGAUUGAGAGCUGGCUGAAGAUGGGGAAGAUACAAGGAAAUGCUUCGUCGUCUGGAGUAAAGAAGCCCUUUGGCGAUGGUCAGCGCGAGAAGGAGGUUGAAUCAAGUGAUGUGUCUGCCCAAAGGGGACGCGGUAGCGAUCGUUAUCACCCGUAUGCUGCUACAGUAAUGAUUCCUGCUGGUAAUCAAUCUGUACGACAGUAACAGCAGCCACCUCAACAAAGAACACAAAGAGUUGGGUGUCAAGCGAGAAGAAGGAUGACUGAUCGUCAGUUUGAUAAGCCACCCAUGGCGUAUGCUCUUCUGUUUAAGAGGUUGAAGGACCUUGGGUUGGUUCAACCGAGGACGUUGGCUCCGGUAGGAUCAUACCAAAGGCUUGCAGGUUACAAUGAGAACAUCAAGUGCGAGUUCCAUUCUGGUGCACCCGGGCAUAGCAUUGAGGGUUGUAAAGCUUUUAAGCAUGUCGUUCAAGAUUUGGUGGAUUCUAAAGCCAUCAAUUUUGCACCGACACCGAAUGUUAAUGCUAACCCCAUGCCGGUGCAGGGUCCUAUGGGGGUGAACGUGAUGUCAGAAGAUAAGAGAAAAAUAGAGGUGACAGAUGUGGAUCAGUUGAGGACUCCAAUGUCUGUGGUCAAGAGACAUUUGAUGAAGAAUGGAGUUUUCCCUGGCUGUGAUAAUUGUUGUGCUGCUUGCACUGUCACUACGAAUGGGUGUGUGAUGUUGAGGGAGACGAUUCAGAGAGUGAUGGAUAGGGGACGUCUCCGAUUUGAGAAAGUUGAUUGGGGGGAAGAAAAUAUCUUUGUCAACCAACUGUCAUCGUUCAAAUAUGUGGAAAUGGACGGUGAAAUAUGGGAAACACCGAGCCAGGCAUUCGAAACCGUCAAGGUGGAGAAUGUUGUUUUUGUCAAAGAAGAGAAGAAGCCGUUCAUUUCUUCGUAUAAGCAGGCCACCGAGGUGGUAAAGAGUGGAGAAGCCCCAGGUUGGGGGAGGAUGAUUGAUAUCGCCGCCAAAGAAGAUAGGUUUGGGGUUGGUUAUCGAUCGGACCAGGGCUCGUCUGGACAGAGUAGAGUACGUCGUCAACCAUUCACGUUCACCAGUGCUAGAAUGCUGGAUCCAGAUCGCAUCUGUGCGGUGGGUGAAGAGAUCGACAGUGACUGCGAGCUCGAUGGUUGGAUAAAACCGUGCGUACCAGGGAUGGAAGUCCAGAACUGGAAGGCCGAAAAGAUCAUCACUGUCACUCUACGUGAAGAGUAAUAUUUCUGUUUUUCAAUACUGUUUGCAUGAAAGCCAUACGUUUUGCUCGAAACGUAAUGGUUCAUUGUAAGGGCCACCUCAUGUGUUUCAUUUUGCAACAUUUUGCAUCAGUAAUAAAUGGAUGAAAAAGUGUAAUUUUCGCCACAAGGGACAAAAAGUAAAUAAAAACGAGUUUAAAAAUAACAAUAAAAAUGGCAAUGUUUAUUUUCAUUUUUCUUUCCUUUUGAUUGGCUUCGUUCCGACUUUUUUAUUCUCCGGAUCUCAUUGAUAACAAUCCUGUUACACCCUCAUAUGACUUCGACAAUCCGAUCUAUCAUGUCGAAGAAGAAGGCGAAGAAGAUUGUGAACUGCCGGAGGAAUUAACCAGAGUGUUGAAACCAGAGGAGAAGGUGAUUCGACCGCAUGAGGAACGAGUUGAGCUUGUUAACCUGUGUACCGAGGAGGUCAGGAAGGAAGUGAAGGUUGGGGCCGCCUUGGAGGCGAGUGUCAAGAGCGGAGGUGAUGCGAUUCGGUCUCAAGAACGCCGGUGCCACGUAUCAAAGAGCUAUGGUGACUUUGUUUCAUGAUAUGAUUCAUCAUGAAAUCGAAUGCUAUGUUGAUGACAUGAUAGCAAAGUCCCAAACAGAAGAGGGGCAUUUGGAAGACUUGGCCAAGUUGUUUGACCGGUUGAGACAAUUCAAACUGAGGUUGAAUCCAAAUAAGUGCACUUUCGGAGUGCGGUCCGGUAAAUUGCUGGGGUUUAUUGCGAAAAAAAAAAGGAAUUGAGGUUGAUCCUACUAAAGAAAAAGCAAUACAAGAAAUGCCUGAACCGAGAAUAGAGAAGGAGGUUCGUGGUUUCUUAGGUAGAUUGAACUACAUUUCACGGUUCAUAUCUCAUCUAACAGCCACGUGUGAACCCAUAUUCAAAUUGUUGAGAAAAGAUCAAACGGUCAGGUGGAAUAAUGAUUGCCAAACGACAUUUGAAAAGAUAAAAGAGUAUUUGCAGGAGCCUCCGAUUCUGAUGCCUCCUGUGGAGGGACGACCAUUAAUUCUGUACUUGACAGCCCUCGAGGGGUCUAUGGGGUGCGUACUGGGGCAGCAUGACGAGUCUGGUCGAAAAGAGCAUGCAAUUUACCUUAGCAAAAAGUUUACCGACUGUGAAACAAAAUAUUCACUGCUCGAGAAAACUUGUUGUGCUUUGGCAUAGGCUGCUCGCUGACUAAGACAGUAUAUGCUGGUUCAUACCACUUUAUGGAUUUCCAAGAUGGAUCCGAUCAAGUAUGUAUUUAAGAAGCCAACAUUGACCGGACGGGUUGCAAGCUGGCAAAUGAUUUUAACCGAAUACGAUAUUCAGUAUACCUCUCAGAAAGCAAUCAAGGGGAGUGUAUUGUCUGAUUACCUCGCCCAGCAACCCAUUGAGGAUUAUCAACCGAUGAAGUUUGAGUUCCCUGAUGAGGACAUCAUGGUUCUCGAUUCGAAAGAUUAUGAUAAAUCGAUCCCGGAGGAGGGGCCUGACCCCGAAUCCGAACGGAUUCUGAUGUUUGAUGGGGCCGUUAAUAUGAAUGGUCGUGACCUAUGAGGAUUGGCACGAGAUGUUGCCGUUUGCAUUGCACAGGUAUCGAACCUCGGUGCGUACAUCUACUGGGGCAGCGCCUUUCUCACUCGUGUAUGGGAUGGAAGCCGUGCUACCAGUCGAGGUUCAGAUUCCUUCUUUGAGAGUCCCGAUGGACGUGAAACUGGAAAAGGAUGAAUGGGUAAGGACUCGGUACGAAGAGUUGAGCCUGAUUGAGGAAAAGAGGCUGGCAGUCGAUUGUCAUGGGCAGUUGUGCCAGCAGCGAAUGAAGCGUGCUUUUGACAGAAAGGUGCGACCUCGUGUGUAUCACGUGGGAGAUAUGGUGCUGAAAAGGAUCCUUCCUCCUCAGAACGAUCGUAGGGGCAAGUGGACACCCAAUUAUGAAGGUCCGUUCGUGGUCAAGAAGGUUUUCUCUGGCGGAGCCUUGUUGUUGACGACCAUGGAUGGCGAGGAUUAUGGCGAGGAUUUUCCAUCCCCUGUGAAUGCGGACGCAGUUAAAAAAUACUUCGUAUAAGAGACCCGCUGGACGAAAAGAAUAAAAUAGUCCAGGCAAAAAUGGGCAUCCCGGCGAACCAGAAAAAAAAAUGAAAAAGGUUCGGGCAAAAAUUAGGGAUAAAAAGAGAAAAAAACUGUACACCCGGCAAGUAGAAAACCCCGCAAGGGCGACUUGGGCAAAAAAGGGUAUCCCGAUGGACUGAAAACCCGAAAGGGCGAUCCAGGCAAAAGAGGGAUUGAAACGAACAACUGCGUCUAGCAUGAUCGUUUGUGUUUUGGUUAAGACACAUGGAUAAUCCCUGGCAGAGAUCAGUCGGAAAUGUCUUGUUCAGAAGGCAGAAAGCACAGAGAGUCUGAGGACAUGUGGGGUGUAACCGAGUUGGAACUCGAUGAGAUCACGGGUUCACAUUGCCAUUAGGAUAGAUUUUUCCUUUUGUGUGCAAUUACCUCUUUUCAGGGAUUGCUUCCUGUGUAUUGCUCGGUUUUUGAGCCACCUCUUUUCAAUCAAUAAAAUGCAUAUUCAGUCAAAUAAUUUUGUUUUUGGUUUUCAUUACCGCUUUGAGUGCAAAAACAUCCGUUUAUUUUGAUAAAGAAUAUUUGCAUUUUGAGACAUACAGGUCCCUUCCAAUGCAUGUUCAUAAGAUUGAAAGCCUGAAAUCUUAUUCGGAAGAUUGAUAAAGAAUAUUUGCAUUUUGAGACAUACAGGUCCCUUCCAAUGCAUGUUCAUAAGAUUGAAAGCCUGAAAUCUUAUUCGGAAGGUUGAGUGACCUAGGUGUUGAAAUUUUGGCACGCCUGGGGAACGUUUUUAUCUAACGAUCUCUUUUGCAGGUGCUGUUAGAUAUUUUCACUCACUUGCAGGUUGUGAUGUGAAGCUUUUUGACCCCGUGGAGUCCAGUCAGGGACAAGGGAUUGAAGGAUGGUGAAAAGACGGCGAAAGACGUGCGACGAUCCUGGAGGUUUAAUCAAGAAGACUCUUCAAAGUCUGGAAAAGUGGAAAGAUGACACUGGAUUUAGAUGGUGAAUACCAGGGUUCGACGAGUCGACGAGUGUUUCGUGUCAGAUUUUCCUUAUUUCCCCUAGCAGGGUCGGGAUUGUUAUCUCCCCAGCGGGUUCGAGAUCGGUGUUUCCUCGGCAGCCAGGCCUGAAGGUUGUUGUGUCCCCUAGCAGGGUUGAGAUUGUUAUGUCCCCAGCAAGUCGAAGAUUGUUGUUUUCCCCGCAGAGUGCGUUGGUAGCUGUUUCCCUAGCGAAGUCCCCAAGCGGAUCGGGUUUAGUGGAGGUCAUCCCUGGUGAGGGUUGUCCUUUCCCCAGCAGCAGUGUUAUUUCCCGGUAGGUUGGAGAUUUGGAGUGGUACCAGGUUCCUCAGCAGAGUGCCUCGAGCUCCCCAAUAGAGUCCCUUGGAAGGGAUACCUUUUUAUGCAUUCAUCAUUUAGAGAAGCAUAGCAUAUUGCAUACCUUAUUGCGUAGCAUUUCCAUGGUUAUGGAGCAUUACGCUGAAAAAAAUCAUCAUGCAUCGGCAUUGUGAGCAUAAGCUAGUCUCACGCCGUGGUUACCAUUUGAGAAUUGGUUUAGCUGGUUGGUGAAGAUGUUACUCAAGCCGUGGUUACCGUUUGAGAAUUGGUUUAGCUGGUUGGUGAAGAUGUUACUCAAGCCGUGGUUACCGUUUGAGAAUUGGUUUAGCUGGUUGGUGAAGAUGUUACUCAAGCCGUGGUUACCGUUUGAGAUUUGGUUUCGCCGGUUGGUGAAGAUGUUACUCAAGUUGUGGUUACCGUUUGAGAUUUGGUUCCGCCGGAUGGCGAAGAUGUUAUUUUGCGGAGUUUAGCAUCAUGACGUUGGAGCAACAAUGUUCCCCAGUAGUGCGAUGUUGGAGGAAAAUUUUCCGUCGAGCGGAGAUGGAAAUAAAGCUUAAAGAACGUUACGCGAUCAGCACGAAAAUCGAAGAAUGGAGAAAAGGAAGUGUUGCGGCAUUUUCUGGAGAACGGGGUUCAAAUGGAGAUUGGAGUUGAAGAUUAUGUCUGGGAUGAGGUCCUCAGGAUUUUCUUCUGAUCAUGUGUCACCUUAGACUUUGGCGAGGCCAACAGAAGUCGGUAUGGGUGUCUUCGGAGGAAGAAAUGCACAUGUUACCUUCCUUUUGUGAAGGUGUACCCUCUGAUAUGUCGCCAUCAGAGUGGUGUUUUGGUGUUAUUUCCGGUGUUGCCAGUGGAAUUAUCACAAGAAAAUGGAGAACAGGGUUCAAAUGGAGAAAGGGAGACACGGGGUGUUUUCUGGAGAGCGGGGUUCACAACGGCGAUCGCAAGUUAUCGUCAGGCGAUUGGGGUUCAACUAGAGAACAGGGUUCAUGAUUUGGCAAACAAGAGUAAUAUGAAGUGGUCGGGGUUCAAAUGCGGUGAUCAGGGAUCAUACGCGUGAAAGGAAAUAAGUUUCGGGGUUCAAGAAAAACAAAAAAAAAUCAAUCAAAAUCAAUCAGAAAGUUUUGGGGUUCAAGAAAAGCAAAAAGUAUAAUAAUAAUCCCCAGCGGAGCGCAAAUUGUUCGUUUGUUCUUGGUAUUCAAUCACUCUUCACCCUGAUCAUCUGAAAGCCGAGGCUGUUCAUAUCGACAGGUUCACAGUGGAUUGAAUAGGGGUAGCUGUAACACCUCAAAAUUUGCCCUCCUCUUCUUGGGACUAGUUUAGCAUAUUGCAUUUCAUGUUUUAGGACAUUAGGCAUUCGCAUAUUGCAUAUCAUAUGGAAUAAGAGAUCAUCCUCUAAUGUCUUGUUCAGAAGAUGAAGGUGGUAUAUGGUCCAAGCCUGAGGGUCUUAUUGAAUUGAUGAUCAACCAUCUGAGGGUUUGCAGUGCAUUAGGGUUUCUUGAUCCUUCAAAGGUUGAGCAGUGUCUUGAUUGCAAGGGUAUAUUACCAUCAUCAUGGUUAAUUGAUGAUCAACCAUCUGAGGGUUUGCAGUGCAUUAGGGUUUCUUGAUCCUUCAAAGGUUGAGCAGUGUCUUGAUUGCAAGGGUAUAUUACCAUCAUCAUGGUUAUGUCAUCCUCAAGGGCUUCACUAUGCAUGCUCAAGUUCCUUGGGGUUAGGGUUUUGACCUCUGGUCAACCCUAAUCAAUGCAUUCUUCUAGUCAGGGUUUAUCAAGGAGAUGAGGUAUUUGUUGAUGAUGAAGAUCACAUGGUUAUGUGGAGAGUUUAUAUGGGCUAGGGGUUUCAUUUCUGAGCCAAUUCCUCAAGUGGUGGAGGUUCAAGGUCAUCAGUGCAUUGCCAAGUCAUCUAGCGCCCAUAAAAGUCAACUGAAAGCUAGGAGGUGGAGAAAUGAGUCUCAACACUUCAUUCAUGUCCAAAAGAGGUUUAUUCAUCAUGUCAAACAUCAAUCUUGAAGAAUUUGAAGCCAGAUCAAAAGUUUCCCAAAAUGGAAAGUGACCUGUAAUUGAAAGUUUCCAAAAAUGGAAAGAUUUUGGUUCAAAUUCAACUUGACUUUCCAACAUCAAAGAAGCUUCAAAUGAACUUUUGGUGUACAUGAAAGUUGAAGAUCUUUCUCUCCUCUUUCCAAAAAGUCCUAUUUCAUGGAUUUAUGAUGAAUGGUUGAGAAGUUAUGAUCCAAUGAUUGCAAAGUGUGCAUGGAACUUCAACAUGGCAUAACUUUUGACUCAAAACUCCAAAUGAAGCCACUCUUUUUGCAAAAUUCUUGUCUUGACCUAUAUUUUCCAAAUCUAUCAUUGCAUUGCAUGAAAUUUAAUCACAUGAUCAUUUGUUCAUGCAUGUUCAUUUUGGAGGGAAAGUUGAAAAUUCAAAUUUGGUGCAAGCUACAAACAUAAUUCCAAUCCCAUUGUGUUCAUUAGGUGAUUUUGAGUGAAUGUGAAGCAUUGCAUGCUACUGUUCACGUGUGAAUUUGCCAUGCACCACACACUUUUCCAAUUUUGGUCAUGCACCUCAUAUUUGAUUAACUUUUCAUUAACCAUUGCUUAAUUAAUUUUUCAGCAUGAUUAACAUAUAGUAUAAAGCCUUAAUCAUAACAGAAUUGUUCAUAACAUCACAUUCUAGAUCUCAAAUUUGCUUUCCCUCCAUUUUUGCUCUCAUUUCAAAUUUNUGGUUCAAAUUCAACUUGACUUUCCAACAUCAAAGAAGCUUCAAAUGAACUUUUGGUGUACAUGAAAGUUGAAGAUCUUUCUCUCCUCUUUCCAAAAAGUCCUAUUUCAUGGAUUUAUGAUGAAUGGUUGAGAAGUUAUGAUCCAAUGAUUGCAAAGUGUGCAUGGAACUUCAACAUGGCAUAACUUUUGACUCAAAACUCCAAAUGAAGCCACUCUUUUUGCAAAAUUCUUGUCUUGACCUAUAUUUUCCAAAUCUAUCAUUGCAUUGCAUGAAAUUUAAUCACAUGAUCAUUUGUUCAUGCAUGUUCAUUUUGGAGGGAAAGUUGAAAAUUCAAAUUUGGUGCAAGCUACAAACAUAAUUCCAAUCCCAUUGUGUUCAUUAGGUGAUUUUGAGUGAAUGUGAAGCAUUGCAUGCUACUGUUCACGUGUGAAUUUGCCAUGCACCACACACUUUUCCAAUUUUGGUCAUGCACCUCAUAUUUGAUUAACUUUUCAUUAACCAUUGCUUAAUUAAUUUUUCAGCAUGAUUAACAUAUAGUAUAAAGCCUUAAUCAUAACAGAAUUGUUCAUAACAUCACAUUCUAGAUCUCAAAUUUGCUUUCCCUCCAUUUUUGCUCUCAUCUCAAAUUUAAAUUUCUUUCACAUAACACCUUGAUUUUAUUGCAUAAUCAUGAUCACUAAGCUUCAUUGAGUAUGGAUCAAGCUUUGAUUUGAAGAAUUCGAGCCAGAAUCAAGCACAUCAAGCUCAAGAACAUGAAGAUGGAAGUUGCAAUCUGAUCAAGAUCCCAACCAUUUCAAGCUUCAAUUCGUGCCUAAAGCUUCAAUAUACAAGUGAUAGAGGAGAUCUGGACAUUGCUAGGCCUUGAAUACGCUGUUUCCUCAUUCUUCUCUUCAAGAGGUUGGAAAUUCGAAACUCUUGAUUCUUCUUUUUAUGUGCAUAGACUUGUAGAGCUUUUCAUGCUGAGAAUUCUGAUAUAGAUUUCAUGGAAAAUGGAUGAAUAUUGGUUGAGUUAUGUUGAUUUAAAGUUUGUGUGUUAAAAAUGUUUUCAAUCGAUUUACAUGAUCCAUGGACUUUUAGACUUAAUUAAUGCUGGAUUCGUGUUGUACAUGAGAUAAGCUUUCGUUUGAUAUAAGCCAUGCGCGUUUCUGGAUUUUUUUUUUGGUGUUCAUCACUGUAGCUCCGCCGUUCCAAUGAAGAAGACGGUGGAAACCACCGUCCCUCCACCACGCGUGAAUAGUGCGCGUGCUUCCUGGUUCAAGCGCCUAGGGCUUACUGUUUGAGCGCCUGUCACCAAUGUGUCUCGUGUUCGAUUCCACCUUGCCAUGCAAUUUUUUCAUUUCAUUUGUUUUCCAAUUUUGAAACGGCUGCGUUUUGAUCCUAGCGCGCCAUACCUCCAUUCGAUUCCCGGCUCCAACACUUUUGUUAUUUAUUUCUUCAGCGCCUUCUAUUUUUUCAUGUACAUGGUUCGAUUUCCACUGACACCAUAUUUUCAAAUUCUAUCAACCUUUUCCAUUUCCCUCCAAUUAUCAUAUGAUUUGCUUCAUUUUAUUUCAAUAUUUUCAUUCAAUUUGCAAAAAUCAUAACAAAUAGAAAAUAAAUCCAAAUCACUUCCAAUUUUUUGCUACAUGUUCAUAUGGAUGCCUAUUAUUUUGUGGUUGUGAUUUCUUGAUUUUAUCAUUUCUGGAUUUUUAAUUGUGGACUGUUAUUUGAACAUGAUGCAAAAUCGUGACCAUGUUGUACCAAUUCUUUUUGUGAAAUGCUCAUACAUUGUCCAAUUGAUUUGAAAUUUGGUAUGCUGAUUCCCACAUGUUGUUUGAUUUUUGAGUCUUGGUUGUGCAGCUUUUAUCAUUCUUCAUUCUCUUUUUAGACACAUGAUGUAUGGUGUGACAAGUGUGUCACACAUUUUUGAUGUUGCUCUUGUUCAUUUUCAUAUACAUGUCAAUUGAGCUUUUCUGAUUCCAAUUUUUUGCAUGAUGCUUGUGUUUAACAUGUUGUGUGCACAUAAAAAUUUCCAUGGUUAUUUGACUCAUUUCUGCUUUAGUAUGGAAUUUCUACUCUUAAUGUCCAAUUGUGUGCUUUGUAAUUGCCUUUGCCUUAUUUUAUGCUUUAGAUGGCUCUUCUUAUUGAUUUGAGUUUGAUCCUUUUUAGGACAUGUUCUUACUUGAAUAAAUAUGCUUCAUGUUGAAUAUUGGUUGCUGUUUUGACUUUUUGCUUUACCUUUGACCCUAGUCUUGGUACUAGUGGUUUGUACUCACCUUUUGAGCUUUGCAUUUCAGGUUCAAGCUUCUAGUCUUAAUGGUUGAUGCAAUCUCAUGACUUGAGAUGCAAAUCUGCUUUAUCCACUAACCUUUGUUAUGUUGUAGGUUCCUUGGUGAUGAACUCACUUGAGUUGUUGAUUUGUUGACUUGCCUUGUGUGCAUAUUGGUUGUAACACUGUUGACUGUUUGUUGGAUUUGUCUGAAUGUGAAUAUUGACUUGUUUGACUUUCUUACAGGUACUUUAGUCGCUUUAUCUCAUUGCUUGAGCUUUGCUUUGCUUGUGGUUGGUAUACCACUUAGGUAACCUCUCUAACUCCAUGUAGUCUGGAAGCCCUGUCGCUUUUUUGGCAGACGUUUGGCUGAAGUCCUCCUUAAGAGGCAAUGACUGUGUUUGUUUACAUUUGUGCUGUUACUUGUUAAAGUCCUCCUAAGUGAAGAGGCAAUUGGCAGAUAGAAGGGAUUAGCAAUCAAUCCCCUGCUAAUCGUUUGAGUCGUUCAUUAAGCUCGCACUACGUGCUGAUGCUCUUGAACCUAACCCAAGAUCUUUGUAUAUAGAGUCAGUCAAGUGGAGUAGGGUCCCACAUUCUGGAUCCCCACGUUUUCAUUUAUUCAAGCUCACCCAGGCCAGGGUUAAGAGCUAUGAGGUCCAACCCUCAUUACCUUUCAUCUGCUCACCCUGACGGUCAAUGUCAGUGGUUAAGAGACUCAGACACCCCUUCCAGUGUUGGCUUGUUUGUCGAGGUUGAUAUGACCCCUUGACUAAAGCCCAGCCUUAUAUGAGCCGCUUGUGUGCAUAUAGAAUGUGAUGAUUGCUUUUGAUGUUUAUCUGCUUUUUCUUCUCAUCUCCUUUCUGUAGGAGUCGUAUGAUCAACUUUCGAGGAAGUUGAACGUACGUAGAGAUAGACUUGAGUUGACUCACUGCCUGUGUGAGUCAAACUCUUGUUAGACGACCUCAACCUAGGGUAUAAUUGCAUGAUGACUAUUAGGCUCGAGUCAGUCUCCCUUUUAGUCCCGUGUAUUCCCUUGGUCUCUGGUUAGGAGAAAGUUUCUCCCGUUAAGGGGAACUACGUUCCCUGAUCCUCAUACCAGAUGAGGUACGUAGGCGAGAUUGCGAGAUCUCUCCGGGCACCCUUUUUCUUUUUUGCGUGUGUUUUGCUUGACAACUACUAGGCUCGAUUUCAGACUCCCUUUUAGUUUGUCAAUUGGAGAACCUUUGGUGUUCGCUGGUUAGCGAUUGCUUAUUUGUUUGGAGUCGGAUGUAAGUCCAGGUUUGGCAUUCUGUUUCCUGGUUUGUUUGUGUUUGGAGUCGGAUGUAAGUCCAGGUUUGGCAUUCAGUUUCCUUGUGCUGUUUGUUUGGAGUCGGAUGUAAGCCCAGCUAUUGGCAUUCUGUUUCCUUGUUGAAUUUCUUUUGACGUCUCAGCGUCUUUGUGUUGUGUUUUGUUUCGGCGUGCGUUAGCCGAACUACGACAGCUCUGAUUCUCAUUCCAGAUGAGAUACGUAGGCAUAGGAUGCGAUAUCCUAGAGAGCCCGUUUCCCCUUGUCCCCGAACUACGUCGACUCUGAUGUUUGUGUCUGACAAACUACGUAGGCCCAGGAUGCGACAUCCUGCCGAGUCCCCUUCCUCCAUCUUCUUUCACCUUUUUGCUUAUUCCAGUGUGUGUGCAUUCUUUGAGCAGUUUUUCAGCAACCUUUUUCUAUUCUUUUGAGCAUGGAUCCCGUCGAGUACGAAGGACGUGAGGGUUACUAAUACCUUCCCCUUGCGUAACCGACUCCCGUACCUUGCAAUCUCUGGUCGUAAGACCAUUCCUUUCCCUUUUUCAGGUUUACUUCGAGCGUUUCCUUUCCCUCCUUUGGGAUAAAUAACGCACAGGUCGUAAGACCAUUCCUUUCCCUUUUUCAGGUUUACUUCGAGCGUUUCCUUUCCCUCCUUUGGGAUAAAUAACGCACGGUGGCGGCUCUGUGUCUUUUCCCGCCGGUUGUUUUUCGUGUUGCGACACCUAGGGUUAUUUUGACCUUGGUCAAUUGUUUGACCAAAAGUCAACAGUUGCCCAAAAGUCAACCUAAGGUCAAAUAUGACUUUUUGUGUAAUUUUGUACGUUUUAUUUUUUUUAAUGAAACUUUUGAUGUGGUAAUGCGAUUUUUGGCCUUUGAAAAUGUACUUGUAACUUGUAUUCGAAGCUAUAUUGUUCCCUCUAAAGUUGAAUUUGAAUUUGAAUUUGAACUUGAACUUGAUUUGAAUGAACUUUGAAUUUGCAAUGUUAUGUCUUGAAUACAAAAACAAAUAGCCAAACAACUAAAAAUGUAAGACCUCAAAAGAGAAUGGUUAUAAAAAGUCAAUCUUCCAUGGUUGACUUUUGUUGACCAAAGUCAAACUUGAAAAGUAACCUCUAAACCCAAAUGCCACGAUGUAGUCAACAUGAUCCAAAAUGCGUAGACCAAUAUUAUGGUUUCUUAAAGACUUAAUCCAAGACCAAUGAUUAAUAAAAGUUUUGUUGUGCCCACAGCCAAAAGGUCCAGAAGCACAUUGAACAUAGGCCCGCAAACCAUAAUUUAGUGCCUUGUAUCUUAAGAAGAAACCUUUUGAUCAAUGAUAUCAUUUGAAAAAUGCAAUUGUAAAUGAAUGAUCUACAUGACUAUGAGUAUGUAGAUGAACCAUGGUCCAAGGAUAAAAUGAAAAGAAAAAGGUAGGGCAAAUUUUGGGGUAUGACAUGAUUCUGGAGACAACAUGCGGAAAGCGAGCAGACUCCAUGGCGAUUGAAGUCAGUUACCUCAUUGUAGGUGCCAUGUCGCCCUACAAUAUAAUCCUACAUAUACCAUCCAUCAAUGCGUUGAAGGAGAUUAUUUCCACCCGAUAUCUGGUUCUAAAAUACCCGCUUCCUGGAGAGCGAAUCAGGACAAUUCAAGGAGACCAACAAAGUGCUCAAGAGUGUUAUCAGAGCUACCUGAAGAAUGAGAGGGAAGAGCUCUACCUUAUGGGUGCCCUAGAUCUGGUAACCUCUUACUUCCUUUAAUGCAUUCCAUUGCUUGCCUUUGCAUACAUAUAUAUAUAUAUAUAUAUUAUAUAUAUAUAUAUAUAUAUAUAUAUAUAUAUAUAUAUAUAUAUAUAUAUAUAUAUAUAUAUAUAUAUAUAUAUAUAUAUAUAUAUAUUUAUAUUAUAUAUAUAUAUAUAAUAUAUAUAUAUAUAUAUAUAUAUAUAUAUAUAUAUAUAGUAUAAUAUAUAUUAUAUAUAUAUGAACGAAUAGUCUCAUUAGCUUGCCUAGCGAUUCUGAGAGCGAUGAGUCUCCCGUAGUUAGGGUGGCAAUAUCUUUUGGUUCAAACACUUCCUCCUUGAUCAUUGAUUAACUGGGUCAUGAGGUAAUAUCUAUAAUUGAUGAUUUUGAAUUAGCGAGACCCUCUAGGGGUUCGCCUGCUUUAUUGACUCCAGAAGUGCAGGUUUCCAUUCUAAAUGGUGACGAUGCUAAAGAAUAUAUACAAAUUCAUCAAAAAUCCUACAAUCGAGAUCCCAUAGAUACCGACAUUAAGGACCAUCUAAAACGUGGGCCCCAACCAUAUGCAAUUUGUUGGCUUGAAGCCUUUGAAACCUUUAAGGUCAAUGAACUAUCCCUAAAAAGGGUUAUGUUAGUAUAGCCGACUGAUGUGAGAAGAUAUAAUUGGGUGGACGCUGAAAUAGUGGGGACCCCCUUCAUUUUAAGUACUCAAACAAUCGUAAGUGUGACCAAUAUCACGAUCGGUCAUUCUUCUGAUUGGUAUGUCCUUCCGGUAGAUCCAGAAAAAAGGAUAUGAAACGUCUCUUUAUGAGUGUCUAUUUACCAGGGUGAAUCUUCGGUUUCCUCUAUGUGAAUUUGAGGUGGAGGUGUUGAAGUACCUAAAAGUUGUCCUCUCUCAGCUUCAUUCGGUUUCUUAGGCUUAGUUGAAGAUGUUCCAAUUUUGUGAAGGAUAUAGGUCUUGGAAUCCUUUUCCCUGUUUUUUUUCAAAUUGUUUUGAGUUGUACAUAUUUCUAAAAAUGAUACUCGAAAUCAGAGGCUUAUUGAGCUUUGUUAGCAUACUCGCUUCUUCAUCCCUUUUCACUAAUGAUUGGGGCAAUUUUCUGGGGCAUUUCGUGUUGGUGAGGCCAUAAAGUUUCCUUCUCAUCUAGCCUUGCCGAGUCUUCUCGCUUAUGUAAGGGUAAGUUUCUGAAAUAUUGGGAUUGACCUCACUUUUGUUAUGAGCCUCAUAUGUAUAGCAUUUAAAUAGAUUACCUUUAUAGAGUCUCUAUACUAGGGACUCAUCUACAUAGAAAGGUUUGGUCACAACAAAGAGUCGUCUUCCUACCAGAGGAAGAAAUCUAUUGAUACCCACGCUAUUGUGAGUAUGGUCGACCGUCUAGAUAGGAAAUAUGUAUUUGGUGAGGAUAAAAUCCUUGUUUUUUUAACCUGUGUGCUUGUACUUGUAGAUAAAAUGGGCUCUUUACAAAAAGUCUACACCAUUUGCACUUCUCAAUGUGUCAACUCAGGUCCCCUGGCUCAGACUACUACUACUCCUUCCAUAACUCUCGAUGCAUCCUCUGUUGUCGAGGAUACUUCAGCUAUCCCUGGAGCUGACCAACUUAUUCAUGUCAGUACUGCUUUGACUAUGGAGGACCAAUCUCAUGUUGUUACUACCCCGACAAAGAGAGACCCGGACUUGGACCAGAGUCCUCUUCUAGAGAAAAAUUCUCCAAAGUGGGAUCGCCUUUCUAGGGGUUUUACUUCAGGAUCGACCACUCCCCUUCUAAAAAAUCUUGUCAUCCUUCCUUCCUGAAUUCCCCACACCCCCGAGGAUGUUGUUGUUGCUAUAUCCAUGGAGGAUCUGGCUUACCUCUAAAAUCUUCUUGAGGCGGGACGAACAAUAUGGAGAUUUUCUUGAGGAUACCUUAUACACUUACCGGGAGGCUUCUCUAUUUUAAUUAUUUGUUGUUGAUCGAGGCGAAGUCCUAGCCAUGGGUAAUCCUUUCAAAGAUAGAGACACAUGGAAGGAAAAGUGUGAAUCAUUUAUGCGGAAGUGCUCCGACUUUUAGGAGGAAACAUCUUCUCUCCUAUAAAAGGUCUGAUGUAUUGAGGAUCUCUAAGAGGAGGUGAAGGUCCACCGUUCACCUUCUAGUUUAGCUUCUCAUAUCACUGAGUUAGAGUCUUCCUUAGAAGAAGAGAAGAAGCAUCGUCAGGAGACAAUUGUUGCCAUUAGGGAGGCAAAAAAUUGUGACGAUGAGGCUUAGAAAGCCUUUCAAUAGGAGAAGGAGUCCCAUGUUGAGGAUCAGAGGGUUCAUGAUGGCUAGGUGGUUGAGCUGAAUGAAAGAGUCCAUGAGUCUCUUCAGCAUGCUUUAACGAAUGUGUAUAAAGCUUUCGACCAGGAAGUGGAACAGGAAAAAGGAUUCCGCCCAAACAUCCUCAUUCCCAACGUGGAACUAGACAUUUCAAAUUUGUUCAGGACGGGGCUUUGGUGGACAACUCUGGUGUAGUGUCUCAGAGUGAGGAAGCUUGAUUUUCUUUUUCUUCUUUUCCUAUAACGUUAUUUGGGCUUUAUGUCUUUGCAAAGAUAACAAUAUUUACAUAUUUACCUUUACAUUUGGUGCCUUUAUUAAACUUAUGUGCUUGAUAUAUUUUAUUUCUUCCUUAUUGUCAUUUGGUCCGCCGUGUGGGUUGCUAGUCUCCAUGCUUUGGAUCGAUUGACGAGUCCUUGUUGCAUCAGGACUUACUCAUUGUGCUUGUACCUUUAGAUUUGUUCACCUUAUAUGCCCUAUUGGCAUUUGGCGUGUUCAUCGAACUCUAUAGUCCCAAAUGGAGUUCGUGGUUACGAGCUUCGAUUCGGAAAAGUUAGUGUUGUAACACCCCGAUAAAAUAAGAUAAUUAUUUAAAUUGAGUUAAUAAUAUAUUUAUUAAUUUAAUUAAAUAAUUGGAAUUAUUAUUAUUAUUGGAAUAAUAAUUAUUGGAAUAUUAUUGGAAUUAUUAUUAUUGGGUUAUUAUUUUUAAUUUGGAAUAAAAGUUGGAGAGUUCGAAAAGGUCCCCAUUUAGUAAAAAGGUUUAUUUUUCACGUGAAAAGGGAAAGAGACAGAAAGUGGAAAAGGGCAAAGAAGCCCAGAGAACAAGGGUUGAAGGAGGAAGAGCUUGAAGCUUCUUAAAGAUUCGCACGGAUUAACGUCAGGUAAGGGGGGUUUAUCAUGCGUUUAAUGGGUAUUAUGGGAUAAUAUGUAAUGGGUAGUGAUAAACCAUUGAUUUACCUCUGAUUGGAAUAACUUAUGCCUGAAAUUGUGACGUUUUGGGAUGAACGAUCUGGUAUUAAAAUCGAAGGACAUUCGGUAAGAAUUGAUGGCAUAGUGUUAGUAGAAUUGCGAGAUCGAAUAGGUUAUGAAUUCGUGUUAGAUGAUAUGAACGACUAUUGUGAAAAAUUGGACUGUGGAAGGUUAGAAUUGAUAGAUCCGUAGAAGAGAAAGCCAUUGCAGAUCUGGAAAUUCUGGUUUCUGGUCAUACGCGUAUGGACUAGCCAUACCGUAUGAGAUGGUCUGGUACGCGUAUGGCACCUAGGCAAUACGCGUAUGGAUGAGGAAGAUGAUGUUUUGAACGUGUUUUGGUCUCUGUUGGUACGCGUAUGGGGAAUGUGGUACGCGUAGGCAUACGCUAUGGAAUGGUGUUACGCGUAUGGUUUUGGCUGAGAAAUGGGCCAUACGCGUAUGGGACUAGGCAAUACGCGUAUGGGCAGACUUGUGGUUUCCUGAGCUGUUGUUUGUCAGUUUUUAGCUGUUCAGCUGAGUAAUGUAAUUUAGCUGAUGUUGAUAUAUUAGGGAUCAUUCCCCGUUGUUUUGAGUAGUAUAGGUAUUAGUAGAGUGUGCUAUCUACUGUGGUUUGUUAUUUGGCAUGAUAUGAUAUGCUUAUGUGAUAAAUACUGAUGAUGUGUGAUGGUAUGCAUGAUGCUGUGAAUGUAUCAGUUAUGUGUGCAUUUGUGAAUAACUGUUUUAUGGCUUAGAGUGUGAGCAAUAUGUCUAUUCUUGAAUUAUUGUUGAUGAUGUAGCAUUGCUAGGUGAUAGCAUGCAUAUUGUGGCCUUAUGGUGGUAGCUAAUUUCCCAUUGUGAGGAAUUAGUGAGUUAGUCAUUAUGGACUGUUGUCGAUGUUUGCAUGCUAGGUGAAUUAGCGUGCAUAGCAUAGCCCUUGAGGGGUGGUAGCUAAUUCCCGUGGUGAGGAAAUUAGUGAGUGAGUCACUAGGUCUCAAAUGAGUGGGACUAGUUGGACUUGGUAGCCGUGCCUGCUGGAUUUGGACGGUGAGAGGUGAACUAUAUGUUCACAAUAGUCGGUACCGCAUGCAUGGAGUUCAUUGCAUUUGUAUUGUAUGGCGUAUAAUAUGAAUGGAUGUAUUCCAAUAUUAUUACGUGUUGUUUUGUGUUGAGUUGACAGUAUGAUUUUAGUUGAUGUUGCUGUUGCUGAAUGUAUGAUCUGAUUAGGGUGAUGAAUGUGUGAAAUUACUUAAGCACUUACAUGAUGUUUAUAAUGCUUAUAUAUCGAUUGAGGAAAUCACCCUUACAACUAUGUUUUCAGGUAACGGAGCAGUGAUUGAGUAGAAGCUAAUCCUUGGAGUCUAGGUAGUCCUUAGUGGUCAUGCUCUGGUAGAUGUAACAUCGGAUGGGAUGUUUCUAUGUUUUCAUUUGGUUGUUGAACAACUUUACCAUGUAAUGUAUUACAUGGUUUGAAUUUGUUAGUUUUUAUCCGCUGGCGAAUUAAUGCAAAAUGUUUUAUUUUGAUUAAAUAAAUGAGCAUGACAGAAUAUUUUGAUGAUUGGUGGUGAAAUAUGAUUGUGGACACCCUUAAGUGCAUAAUUACUCUGAUUUGGAUAUCUUGUUUAUUUUAAUUAAAUAUUUGGGUAUUUUUAGAAGGGUGUUACAUUAGUGUAUCAGAGCAUAGUCGGUCGAGUCGAGUCGUAAUUAUUCUGUUCCCCUGUACGGGACUAGUGUUGUGUAACCCUAUAGUACUUAUUGUUUUAGCUUGUUGGGUUUUUCAGAAUAGAGAUGGCUGGAGAGGUAGAGACGAUGCUGCAAUUGCUGAGGCUCUGGGUUAUGCCUAGCUGGAGUACUUGGAGGAAAUCCGAAUGUUGUGGGAAUGGGAGCUGCUCGUCAACUGAGUGAGUUCCAGAAGAGUAAUCCUCCAAUGUUCAAGGAGGCAUACGAUCCAGAUGGCCGCUCAGAAGUGGUUGAAGGAGAUCGAGAGGAUCUUCCGAGUGACUGAGUGUGCGCGAUAACCAGAAGGUCAGGUUCGGUACGCAUAUGCCGUCAGAAGAGCAGAUGAUUGGGUGGUGCUACCCGCAGCUGAGUUGGAAUCUGCUGGAAUGAUGAGAUCACUUGGGUUUGUGUUCCGAGAGAGAUUCCUGAGGAAGUACUUUCCAGAGGAUGUUAGAGGAAAGAAAGAGAUAGAGUUCUUGGAAUUGAAGCAGGGCAAUCGGUCUGUUACUGAGUAUGUGCUAAGUUCACAGGCUGUCGAAGUAUUCACUCCCUAUAAGCGAGGCUACUGGGGAAUUUUUCAAAGUGUGUGAGUUUGGAAACGGGUUGCGUCCCGAGAUUAAGCAGGCUAUUGGGUAUCCAGCGGAUCAGAGUGUUUUCCUGACUUGGUUGACUGUUGCAGCAGAUUUUUGAACAGGAUUCCAAGGCUAGAGCAGAGAGCUAUCAGCAAAGGGUGUUGAUAGGAAAGGCAAGAAUCAGAAUGAUCGGGGAAACCGUAUGUAGUUGGAAAAGGUUUCAGAGGCAGAGUGGGAUGAAGAGGCCUAGUGGGGGAGACUCCAGUGCCCCUGGCUAAGUGUUUCAGAUUGUGGUCAGGCUGGACAUCGUAUCCAUGAGUGUACCAGUAAUGAGAAGAAGUGGUUUUAAGUGUGGAAAAGGUGGUCAUUUGGCUGCAGAGUGCCGGUCGACGACUGUGACUUGUUUCAAACGUGGAGAAGUGGGUCAUAUCAGUCCACAGUGUCCUAAGCCGAAGAAAAGAUCAGUCGGGAGGCAAGGUCUUUGCUUUAUCGGGUUCUGAGACUUCUGCAGACGAUUCGUUUGAUCCGAGGUACGUGUUAUAUUAAGGCUUUCCUCUGUAGCUAUUAUUGACACAGGUGCGACUCAUUCUUUAUUCUUUGGAUUGUGCUGUGAAACUUAAGUUAGAGAUAUCUGAGAUGCUUGGAAGUAUGGUGAUUGAUACUCCUGCGAAGGUUCAGUGACUACUACUUCAGUUGUUUAAAUUGUCCUUUGAGUAUUUUUGGUAGAGACUUUGGGAUGGACCUUAGUGUGUCUUCCACUAGUUGCAGAAUUGAUGUUAUCCUGGGUAUGAACUGGUUUGGUGUUUAACCGAGUUUAUAUCAAUUGUUUGAUAGACUGUGACUCUUUCCUGAGAUUGAGGAAGGAAAGAGUUUGUUUCUAUCAGCAGGCAGGUGAAUGAGGCAGUAGUAGACGGGGCAGAGUUGUUUAUGCUGUUAGCGACUUUGGAGGCUAAAGAUAAACUGGUGAUUUGUGAUCUAGCCGUGGUGUGUGAUUUUCCUGAUGUGUUUCCUGAAGAGUGAAUGAAUUACGCCAGAACGUGAAGUUGAGUUUCUCGAUUGAUUUGGUACCUGGUCUAGGCCAAUGUCGAUGGCUCGGUACCGUUGUCUGCUGUUGAGUUAACUGAAUUGAAGAGUCAGUUAAAAGAUCUGUUGGAUAAGAAAUUUAUUCGUCCGAGUGGUCACCGUGGUGCACUAGUGUUAUUUGGUUAAGAAGAAAGAAGGUACUAUGAGGUUGUGUGUGGACUACAGGCAACUGAUAUAAGUGACGAUCAAGAAUCGUAUCCUUUGCCGGAGGAUUGAUGAUUUGAUGGAUCAGUUGGUUGGUGCGAGUGUGUUUCAGCAAAAUAGAUUGAGAUCGGAUAUCACCAGAUACGUGUGAAAACUGAGGAUAUUCAGAAGACUGCUUUCAGAACAAGGUAUGGACAUUAUGAGUAUUCUGUAAUGCCUUUUGGUGUGACUAAUGCGCCUGGAGUAUUUAUGGAGUAUUGAAUAGGAUUUUUCCAUCCGUACCUAGAUAAGUUUGUUGUGGUGUUUAUUGAUGACAUUUGUGUAUUCGAAAUCUGAAGAAGAGCAUGCUGAGCAUUUGAGAGGGUGUUAGGAGUUCUACGGAAAAGAAUUAUUUGCUAAACUAUCCAAGUGUGAAUUUUGGUUAGAAGAGGUUAGUUUCUUGGUCAUGUGAUUUCAAGAGGUGUGUUGUGCUGUUGAUCCUUAAGAUAGAAGCGGUAUCUAAGUGGAAGCUCCGAAGUCAGUUUCUGAGAUAAGAAGUUUUCUUGGACUUGCCAGGUUAUUAUAGGAAGUUCAUUGAGAGGAUUUUCUAAGUUGGCAUUACCGUUGACGAUGUUGACUACGAAAGGGGCAAGCGUUUGUUUGGGACUCAAAAUGUGAAGAAGGUUUCCAGAGUUAAAGAGAAGGUUAACUACUGCUCUAUUUUUGAAUAUUACCGAGUCCGUCAGAACUAUUUGAGGUUUUUCUGUGAUGCUUCAUAUGUUGGGUUUGGGUGGUGUGUUGAUGCAGAUAAGCAGGUUAUAGCUUAUGCUCGAGACAACUGAGGGUUCAUGAGAGGAACUAUCCGACGCACGAUUUAGAGUUGGCAGCUGUGUAUUUGGUUCUGAAGUUGUGGAGCAUUACUUGUACGGGUCAAGAUUUGAGGUUUUCAGCGACCAUAAGAGUUUAAAGUAUUUGUUUUGAUCAGAAAGAGCUGAAUAUGAGACAGAGGAGAUUGGUUAGAGUUUCUGAGAUUAUGACUUUGGUUUGAAUUACCAUCGGGUAAAGCAAACGUAGUGGCUGAUGCAUUGAGUCGGAAAUCAUUGCAUAUGUCCUAUGUUAAUGGUUAAGGAAUUGGAUUUAAUUGAGCAGUUUAGAGACUUGAGUUUGGUGUGUGAGAGUACUCACAAUAGUGUUAAAUUGGGAAUGUUGAAGUUAACAAGUAGUAUUUCUGGAUGAGAUCAGAGAGGGUCAGAAAUCCGAGUGCUUUUGGUUGAUAAGUUGACUUUAGUGAAUCAAGGUCAAGGUGGUGAAUUGCAGAGUUGAUGAGAAUGGUGUUUUGAAUUUGGUAAUCGGGUGUGUAUUCCGGAUGUUACGAACUUAGAAGAGUAUCCUGGAGGAAGGACAUCGUAGUGGCCUGAGUAUUCAUCCUGGGGCUACGAAGAUGUAUCAUGAGUUGAAAAAGUUUUUUUUGGUGGCCGGAAUGAAAAGAGAAUUGCGAGUUUUGUUUAUUCUUGUUUGACUUGUCAGAAGUCAAAGAUUGAGCAUCAGAAGCCGUCUGGGCUAAUGCCAACCGUUGGCUUUUCCAGAGUGAAAGUGGGAUAGUAUCAGCAUGGAUUUUGUUUCUGGUUUACCGAGGACAACUAAGAAUUUCGAAGCUAAUUUGGGUGAUUGUUGACAGAUUGAACAAAAUCGGCUCAUUUCAUUCGAUCAGAAUGGAUUAUCCGUUAGAGAGAUUAGCUGAGUUGUAUAUUGAGAAGUUGUAAGUUUGCAUGGUAUUCCGUCGAGUAUUGUUUCGGACAGAGAUCCUAGAUUUACAUUAAGUUCUGGAAGGUUUGUUAGAGGGCUUUGGAACUAAGCUGAGAUGAGUUCUGCAUAUCAUCCACAGACUGAUGGUCAGACUGAGAGGACGAUUCAUUACUGGAGAAUCUUUUUGAGGGCUUGUUGUUUUGGAAAAAGGAGGUGCUUGGAUUGUUAUUUACCUUUGAUUGAGUUCACCUACAAACAAUAGUUUUCAUUCGAGCAUUGGUAUGGCCCGUUUGAAGCUUUGUAUGGUAGGAGAUGUCGGACACCUUUAUGUUGGUAUGAGUCCGGUGAGAAGUGCUGUGGUUGGACCGGAGAUUGUUCAACAAACUACGGAAAAGAUUAAGAUGAAUUCAGGAGAAGAUGAGAAUUGCUCAAGAGUCGUCAGAGAGAGUUAUCACGACAAGAGGAGAAGAAGUCACUUGAGUUCCAAGAGGGAGAUCUGUGUUUCUUCGUGUUACCCGAUAACUGGGUUGGUCGAGCUUUGAAGUCGAAGAAGUUGACACCUCGAUUUAUUGGUCCUUAUCAGAUUUUGGAGAAGGAAUAGGGGAGGUAGCCUAUCGUAUCGCUUUACCGACGUCACUUGCGAAUUUGCAUGAGGUUUUCAUGUGUCCUCAGUUGAGGAGGUACAUUCAUGAUCCGUCGCAUGUAGUCCAAAUAGAUGAUGUACAGGUGAGAGAUUAACCUGACUGUUGAAACAUCACCUAUGAGGAUCGAGGAUCGAGAAGUUGAAGCAGUUGCGGGGUAAGAGAUUGCUUUGGUAAAGGUAGCUUGGGGAGACCAGCAGGUGGCAAUGUGACUUGGGAACUUGAGAAGUCAGAUGAAGGAGUCUUAUCCUGAGUUGUUCGCUUGAGGUAUGUUUUCGAGGACGAAAACUCUUUAGUGGGGAGAGUUGUAACACCCCAUAAAAAAGAUAAUUAUUUAAUAUUGAGUUAAUAAUAUAUUUAUUAAUUUAAUUAAAUAAUUGGAAUUAUUAUUAUUAUUGGAAUAAUAAUUAUUGGAAUAUUAUGGAAUUAUUAUUAUUGGUUAUUAUUUUAUUGAAAUAAAAGUUGAAGUUAGAAAAGGUCCCAUUUAGUAAAGGUUUAUUUUUUCACGUGAAAAGGGAAAAGAGACGAAAGUGGAAAGGGCAAAGAGAGCCAGAGAACAAGGGUUGAAGGAGAGGAAGAGCUUGAAGCUUAAGAUUCGCCGGAUUAACUCAGUUUAAGGGGGUUUAUCAUCGUUUAAUGGUAUUAAUGGGAUAAUAUGUAAUGGGUAGUGAUAACCAUUGAUUUACCUCUGAUUGGAAUAAUUAUGCUGAAAUUAUGAACGUUUGGGAUGAACGAAUCUGGAUUAAAAUCGAAGGAAAUUCGUAGGAAUUAGAUGCAAUAGUGUUAGAAAUUGCGAGAUCGAAUAGGGUUAUGAUUCGUGUUAGAUGAUAUGAACGACUAUUGUGAAAAUUGGACUGUGGAAGGUUGAAUUGGAUAGAUCUCGUAGCAGAGAAAGCCAUUGCAGAUCUGGAAAUUUGGUUUCUGGUCAUACGCGUAUGGCACUAGGCAAUACGCGUAUGAGAUGGUCUGGUACGCGUAUGGCACUAGGCAAUACGCGUAUGGAUGAGGAAGAUGAUGUUUUGAACGUGUUUUGGUCUCUGUUGGUCGCCGUAUGGGGAGUGGUACGCGUAGCAUACCGCGUAUGGGAUGGUGUUACGCGUAUGGGUUGGCUGAGAAAUGGGCCAUACGCGUAUGGGACUAGGCAAUACGCGUAGGGGCAGACUUGUGGUUUCCUGAGCUGUUGUUGUGCAGUUUUAGCUGUUCAGCUGAGUAAUGUAAUUUAGCUGAUGUUGAUAUAUUAGGGAUCAUUCCCCGUUGUUUUGAGUAGUAUAGGUAUUAGUAGAGUGUGCUAAUACUGUGGUUGUUAUUUGGCAUGAUAUGAUAUGCUUAUGUGAUAAAUACUGAUGAUGUGUGAUGGUAUGCAUGAUGCUGUGAAUGUAUCAGUUAUGUGUGCAUUUGUGAAUAGACUGUUUAUGGGCUUAGAGUGUGAGCAUUAUGUUAUUCUUGAAUUGUUGUUGAUGAUGUGCAUUUGCUAGGUGAUUUACAGCAUAUUGUGGCCUAUGGUGGUAGCUAAUUCCCAUUGUGAGAAUUAGUGAGUUAGUCAUUAUGGACUGUUGUCGAUGUUUUGCAUGCUAGGUGAAUUAGCGUGCAUAGCAUAGCCCUUGAGGGGGUGGUAGCUAAUUCCCGUGGUGAGGAAUUAGUGAGUGAGUCACUAGGUCCUCAAAUGAGUGGACUAGUUGGACUUGUAGCCGUGCCUGGAUUUGGACGGUGAGGUGAACUAUAUGUUCACAAAUAGUCGGUACUGCAUGCAUGGAGUCUCAUUGCAUUUGUAUUGUAUGGCGUAUAAUAUGAAUGGAUGUAUUCCAAUAUUAUACGUGUGUUUUGUGGUUGAGUGAGUAUGAUUUUAGUUGAUGUUGCUGUUGCUGAAUGUAUGAUCUGAUUAGGGUGAUGAAUGUGUGAAAUUACUUAGCAUUACAUGAUGUUUAUAAUGCUUAUUAUAUCGGAUUGAGGAACUCACCUUACAAACUAUGUUUUCAGGUAACGAGCAGUGAUUGAGUAGAAAGCUAAGUCCUUGGAGUCUAGUGUAGUCCUUAGUGGGUCAUGCUCUGGUAGAUGUAACAUCGGAAUGGGAUGUUUUACUAUGUUUUCAUUUUGGUUGUUGAAACUUUACAUGUAAUGUAUUACAUGGUUGAAUGUUGUAGUUUUAAUCCGUGUGAAUUAGCAAAUGUUUUAUUUUGAUUAAAUAAAUGAGCAUGACAGAAUAUUUUGAUGAUGUGUGUGAAAUGAUUGUGUGACACCCUUAAGUGCAUAAUUAUUCUGAUUGAUAUCUGUUUAUUUUAAUUAAAUAUUUGGGGUAUUUUAGAAGGGUGUUAACAGUGUCAUAUGAAUCAUCCCUAGCCAAAGGUAAGGUCAGUCCCUGUCCCCGGGUUUAUCCUAGUUCCACCGUCUAUGUAACACCUACUUUAGUUAAUUAUUAUGUUUAUUUUAAUAUUUAAUUUGUUCUAUGUAUUGAGUGAUUUAUUGUACUUUUUGUUAUUUAUGGUAUUUUGGUAUUUAGGUAAUAUUAAAAAAAUUAGAGAUGUGUUAGAAUUAAGAAGAAAUAGACUUUUUUAAUUAAAUUAGAAAGAUAUGGUGUUGAGUAAGAGCUAGGGUGUGGUGGAGGAUUAGUGAGAAUAAUAGAAUAUCGUUGUAAGUAAAUAAUUGUAUUAUUAAAAUAAUUUAUUAUUUAAAAUAAUUUAGAUAAUUUUGAAUGAAAAAUAAUCAAUUAGAAAGUAGAGGUUUAAGUGAGGUUGGGAAAAUAAUUAGACUUUUAGGUUUUUAAAUAGAAAAGUUAGAAGGGAUUCUGGACAUAAUGUGAAAUUGUGGAAAAGAGGAAGCGAUUGAAACCCUAAGGAGAGCGAUCUAGGAAGGUGAGUGAAGAAUAAUCNGAAUUAUGCAAAUGUUUUAUUUUGAUUAAAUAAAUGAGCAUGACAGAAUAUUUUGAUGAUUGGUGUGAAAUGAUUGUGUGACACCCUUAAGUGCAUAAUUACUCUGAUUGAUAUCUUGUUAUUUUAAUUAAAUAUUUGGGGUAUUUUAGAAGGGUGUUACAAGUGUCACUAUGAAUCAUCCCUAGCCAAAGGUAAGGUUCACGUCCCUGUCCCCGGGUUUAUCCUAGUUCCACCGUCUAUGUAACACCCUUACUUUAGUUAAUUAUUAUGUUUAUUUAAAUCAUUUAAUUUGUUCUAUGUUAUUGAGUGAUUUAUGUACUUUUUGUUAUUUAUGGGUAUUUUGGUAAUUUAGGUAAUAUUAAAAAAAUUAGAGAUGUGUUAGAAUUAAGAGAAAAUAGACUUUUUAAUUAAAUUAGAAAGAUAUGGGUGUUUAGAGUAAGAGCUAGGGUGUGGUGAGGAUUAGUGAGAAUAAUAGAAUUAUCGUUGUAAGUAAAUAAUUGUAUUAUUAAAAUAAUUAUUAUUUAAAAUAAUUUAGAUAAUAUUUGAAUGAAAAAUAAAUCAAUUAGAAAGUAGAGGUUUAGUGAGGGUGAGGAAAAUAAUUAGACUUUUAGGUUAUUUAAAUAGAAAAGUUAGAAGGGAUUUCUGGACAUAAUGUGAAAUUGUGGAAAAGAGGAAGCGAUUGAAAACCUAAGGAGAGCGAUCUAGGAAGGUGAGUGAAGAAUAAUCUCAAUGGUAGAAAAACUCAACGAUCAUCGCAGUCGAGGAAGGGGGUGAGAUCCCUUACAUUUUGCGUGUUUAGGCAUCCGAAUAGCGAGGGAUCCUAACCAUCAUGUCUUCUCCUUCCAUAUUAUGAGUGUUGCUUUAAUCGUAUGUUUGUGGCUAAAAGGGUUUGUCCUAAACCCCUUUGAAUUAACAAUUUGAAUAUAUUACAUCGAAUUGAGUUAUUUUGAAUCUAUAAUAAUAUUAUUGUUAUUGAUAUGUGGCCUUGUCCCUUUUGGGGUUUUUUUCUUGAUAAUUCGAUUACUCCCGGUUUGUGAUGUGUAGCUGAUAUUUUCUUUUGAGAUCAAUAAUCAAAUUCCAAAAUCUUAUUUUUCAUGAAAAUCCCUAAUAUCAUUUUUUUUCGAAAGAUCAUAAAAAUGGUCAAAAAAUCAAAAAGUCGAGAAAAUCGAGAAAAAGUUAGAAAAUCCAAAAUCGGAAAAAAUUGGGUGGCGGGCCGCAGCAGCAACCAAGAGUCAGAGGCCGCCAAAAUCAGGUGUCGCAUCGCCGGCCGGCGACCGUGAGCAACGGGGCCGCCAGAGUCAUGUCGCGGUGGCAGCAUGCGACAGGUUUUCGGAUUCGGGCAGUGCGGUGGCACGGGUCGGAUGAGGCGGUCCGGUGUUCGGCGGUAGUUUGACGUUUCGCUGUUCAAUUGAGUUAAUUUCGAGUAAUCUUGAGUUCAGUGACUUUUCGCUACCUUUGUUGAUAAGUUCGAGAGCCAAUUGUUAUUUUAGAGUUGUUUUAUGUUUAUUUGAGUCAGACCGCCGGUCAAUAUAGUUCAUAAGAGUUAUCUUUAUAUGCAAGUGUUGUCCUUUGAGCACUUUAGAGUACCUUAAAGUUGUUUUGGGUUGUAGAAAUUAUUGUAGAGCCGUUUAGAGUUCCUUUGAGGACUCUGUUGAGUAAAAGAUAAGGGUUGUUACCCUUUUGAUGAGUUGCAAAUAUAAAAUAAUAAUAACUACUAUGUCGAUAUGUUUUUAGUAAUUUUAUGAGUUGACGAACAAAUUGAAUUAACGUGUGAUGAAGUUUAUCAUUACAUUAUGUAAGAUUUUAUUUUUUGAUGUUUGGACAUUCAUUUCCUAAUUUAUCAAUUGUAUUAACCAACAUUUUACAAACUAUUAACAAAAGUCUAUUUGUCACAUAAAACUUUAGCUUUUGAUGUCAGAGCAUUCAAUAAUAUUAAAUUAAUCAACUUUAUAAUUUAAGAUUAUUUUUUUUAAUAUUUUUUUUAUUUAAAUAAAAAUAUUAAUCAUCAUAUAAAUAUAAAUAUAAAUUCGGUAAACAAUAUUCCAUAUAUUUGGUUUAAAUAUUUGAUAUACAAUUAUAUGUCAAAAUAACAUUGCUGAAUAACUUAUUUGGUAGACACGACUGAAGCUAAUAAUUUAUUUGAUACACACAAAUGAAAAUAAAUGAAAAUUUCAGCUAAAUCACUUUUAAGUGUCAAAAUAAUUUCUAUUGUGUCUUUUAAUUACUACUCUUUACAUUAUUUUUAAUAUAUUUAAUUUAUAAGAUUAAUUUAAUAAUAGUGUAUUAUUACCUUUCAUUAAUUUGUGUAAAAAACCUUAUAAGUUGUAUUAAUUAUCGGCAAAUAUCUAUACUCAUCGAUGUAGAGGGAAAAAUCACACAAUAUCAAACAUUGUAAAUUUCAAAACACAGAUUUCAGAUAUAAUACAUGACCAUUUCAAAACACAUACAAUUUCAAAACACAGAUUUCAGAUAUAAUACAUGACCAUUUCAAAACACAUUUUCAAUCUAUGCUAUAUAUGCAAACCAAAAAAAGCAAAACCAGAAACAACGUCUUAGCAAAACUAUUAUCUUCAAAUUGAUAGCAUAGCUUCACAACCAAGCAAAACCACCCCAACAACAAAAGACAUCCACAUUCCCUUCACAUUACAGUAACCAGCACCAGAAGAAGCUUCAGAAGGCAAGUCUUUGUUCUCAUCAUCAUCAUCCUUCGAUGCUGAUGACUUGCUUCCAUCACCAGGCUUAGAUGAACCUCCUUUAGAAACCGUUGCAGGUGCAGGAGCUUUCGCAGGAAGCAGAAGAUCAAGAGGAACAAGAACCUUGUCAACCUGAUAUAUAGCUAGUUUAUUAUCUGCAUAAAUGGUUCCUGUAACAGUGGCGUUAACCGCACCAGUUGUCAAGCUAACUUGACUGCUCCCGGAAGUGGUUACGUUAAGUUGUAGCCUUUUGGCAUCGUCGCCGGCCUGUGUUUGAACCGGGUUUGUUAAGGUGUCGAAAUUUGAGAGUGAGAUGAAUGAGGAAAGUGUGUGGAAUUGUAACAGUUCUACUUUGUGUCUGUCACUGAGAGAAUUAAGGAAACCUGGUUUCAGUUUCGAAAAAGCACUGUCUUCUGGUGCGAAAACGGUUAAACCAGCAUUGCUAGAAUCUGAUGCUUCUGAUGAUGGUGAUGUAACUAGCUGUGAGUUGAGUUGGUUUAUUAACUGAGUUGUUUUGAGAAGGCGGAUAAGAACCGAGAAUCUUUUGGCUUUUUUUAGAAUUUGGAUGAUGUCAAUGGAUGGUGUUUUGGGGAUAAUGUCGAUAGGGGCGGGGCCUCCGCUUGGGGAAACUGGUACAAGGGGAACUGUGUUGAAACCUGGGGCUGGUGUUGAUGCUUGUGGGGAUUGAAAUGGUGAGAGUUGUGCUGAGGUGGAAGUGGAGUAGAAGAGGAUGCAAAUUAUUAGUUGUAGAAUUGAACAAGAGAAAAGAAAUUGUUGCUUCUUCAUUGUUGAAGGUUGAGUAGAGAUUAAUGUGUAUGACACUUUGAAAUUACUACUUAAUAGCACUUGAUUUGGGUGUCUCGGUGCUAUCAAGAAAAAACCGAUUAUCCAUAAUAACUUGGUAUCCAAAUUGAUCCAUUUUAAAAAAACCAAAUAAAAUAUUAAAAUAAAAAUUUGAAAAUCCAUUUUGUUAUCCAAAUAUAAACCGUUAUAUAUUAUAGAAAUUUUGAUUUUGUUAUUGGUUAUCCAAAUUUUACUAUGCGAUAAACUUUUAUAUUGGUAUGUUUUCAUGUUUUAUCACGUUAUAAAUCAAUUUUAUAUUUUAAAUUUUAUAAAAAAAUUAUUUUAAAAAUAAAAAUCAGAUUUUUUUCUUUUCACAAAAAAUAAAAUAUUUGGAUUUUUUUUUCGAAAAAAUUAUAUUUGAUAUUUAUUUUUCAAAUAAAAUUAUUAUUUUUUUCUAAAUAAAAAAGAUAUUUUUUAUCAAAAAUAUUUUGUAUUUUUUCAAUAAAAAAUUGUUUUUUAAAAAAGAAUAGAUUUUUUUAAAAAAAAUUUUCAGAAUAUAAUUUUAUUAUUUUCAAUUUUUUUUCUGAAUAUUUAUUAUUUUUUUUUAUGUUUUUUAAAUUUUAAAGAAAAAAAUAUUUUAAAACCUCAUAAAAUUUGUUUAUGAACAAUUACGAAAGAUUUUAGAAAUUUGAACAAUUUUUUUGAUGAGUUAUUUAUUUUAUGAACAAUUAUGAUUUAUAAAGAUAUGAUUCAUAAUUAUUUUAUUUUAUUACCGUUUUUAUGUAACACAUCACUUUUGGAUUGUUUUUAAUCGAGAUAUUAUUUGUGGUGAUUAUAAAAGUCAAAUUUAAAAUAAUUUUUUAAAAUAAAUAUUUUUUUUAUAUAUAAUAGUUUUAUAAUUAGUGAAAAUAAAAAAGUUAGUUAAAAGAAAAUAAAAUUAUUUUUGAUAUAAAAUUGAUUUUUUAAAAAUAUUGUUUUAAAAACUAUUUUAUUUUAUAAAAUUGGUUUUGAAAUUGAUUUUUUUAAGAGAAUAAAAAAUUGGUUUUAAAGAAAUUGAUUUAAAUUUUUUUUUUUUUAAAUCGGAUUAAAACCGAAUCGAUCCAUAUAUAAACCGAUUUCUAAAAAAUAAAUUGGUUUUAUGAAAAUGGUUUUAAGAACCAAACCGAAUCAUAUAUACGGUUCAAUUUGGUUUGUUUCAUGAUCCAUGCACACCCCUAGGAAUGAGGGAGAAAGAAUGGCUUUUAUUGAGGAUGUUAAUACUUGCAAGGUUUAGUUUAGUUGGAAAGAAAAUUGGAAGUUAUCAUAUCAUAUCAUAUGAUUCAUGGCAUCAUACAGUUAUAAGAUCAAUUAUUUGAUGCGGAGGGUAUAUGAAAAUGUGGUAGGAAAAUGGGCUUUUGAUCUGUUUAGAGGUUGAGGUUUUCCAUCAGCCAGAAAGAAAAGGAAAUAAUCAGAAUACAGUUUAUCUUCCUAGGUGGCACUGUCUGAGAAAGAUUUGUCAAUAAGGACUGAGGAGCUAAGAAACAAACAUUAGACCUACCUUACUCUCAGAUCAGAUGUUGCUCGCAGACUUUCAGUUCAUUAUACCUAUAGCAGUAAUUAGUUAAGAAAAUAGUAUUUAGGAGAAGCUGGAAAUGUCAAAUAUUAAGAUCUCUUGAUAAGUUUAUACAGUAUACUAAAAUUUUAAUAACAGUUGAGACUAUUUUCUUGAUAUUUUUUCUGCAUUGGAGUUGCGUGACAUGACAACAAUAUGCCAGAAGAGUUUCCAUUGUGGAACGAUUUUUCGGCAAAAGAAAUGGGAACAAUUAAAAUGACGAAGUGGCAUGUCUGCAUAAAUUGUUUGGAAGUAUACAUAAAUAGCAGCCAGGGCUUAAGUCCAUUGUGAAAUCUCAUUGUGGAGAGAGAGUGAUUCUAAAAUCUGAUUGACAUGAUUCUAGAUAACUGCAUCCAUGGAGACAGGGUUCUCACUUUGAUGAGGCGGUAUCCGCUACCUUUUAGCGUUAGGUUGGCAGGUCCGACGUACUUGGUAGGAGGAAAACAUAUGUGCAAAUUUACUGGCAAAUUAUAGUUUCUAAGAGUUCUUUGUUGUUUUGAGGUAGAGACUCUUUCAAAUGAGUUUUAUGGUUUGUGUUUUUUUAUGAUAUAUCUAGUCUGUAUAUGCCCGGGACGGUUUGUUUAGGCGCUUAGCUUUUAGUCUUCUGGGCUUAAGCACUCAUUUUGUGUCAAAAACAAAGUGAUUAUAAUCAAUUAUUAAACAUCAUAAUAAAGAUUGUAGAUUGUAAAGUAAACAUUCUUUCACCAAAACAAUAUGUUUUCUAUUUUUAACAUGAACAAAAUCAGGAAAGUGUUCACACUUCACAACCUCUCAAACAACAAUCUUCCCAUGACAAUACAAAAAACGAAACCAAGAAAGAAAAAAAAGAGCAUAAUAGAAAUUCAAAAAACAAAACAGUCUUCAAAUGAUUUACUCUUCAUCAAUUGAUCAUGGUUAGUGCAGCAACAAAAAGCGACACAAACAAUGUUCCUUGAAGACAAAUCAAAUUGAUAGCACCAGAAGUAGCCUUAGUUGUCACAUCCUGAUCAUCAUCUGAAGAUGAAUCCUUAGCAGCUUUAGGUGCUUUUGCUAUAAUAGGAGCCGCAGCGAGAGCUUUAGGCUUAGAGAAAUCCAAAGGAAUAAGCACCUUAUCAACAUGAUAUAUAGCAAGUGUUUUGUCAGAAUAAACAAUCCCUGUGAGUGUAGCAUUAACAGACCCAGUUGAAAUAUUCACAUUGUUUCCAUAAGCAGUCACAUUUAUUUGAUAACCAGAAGGACUAUCACUUGCAAGAGUGAGCACAGGAUUACUUAGUGAAUCAAAGUUUGAGCUUGAGACAUAAACAGGAAGAACAUGAAACUGUAUCAGUUGUUUCUGUUGGCGUUCGCGGAGGGAAUUAAAGUAUCCGGCUUUGAGCUGCGAAAAGGCACCGUCAUCGGGUGCAAGAAUGGUUAAACCGCCGGAUUUUGUUGUCACCAGCUGUGCGUUGAUUUGAUUGAUGAUUUGCGUGGUUUUGAGCAAGCGGAUCAGUGUGUUGAAUGAUUUAGCUUUUCUUAGGAUUUUGAUGAUGUCUUGACCGGAUGAAGAAUCGGAGGAGGGUGAUUGAGGUAAUGAAGGGACUAAUGGUUUUGCGGGUGCUGCUGCUGGAGCUGGUGUGGCAGGGGCAGGUUUUGCUGGAGGUUUAGGUGCUGCUGCAGGUGAUUCAGCUGAAGUGGUGAUGAAAAAGAUAUGAGCAAAUAGUACUAAGAGGGAAAAGAAGAUGAUUUGCUUCAUCUUUUUAUACUAGAUAGUUUUGAUGCUUUUGAAAAGGUGGUAAUGAGAGGUAUGAGUAUUUGGUUUGUGGAAGUGUAAUGGAAGAGAGUGGUUUUAUAGAUGCUAUUAGUGAGUGAUGAUUAGGUGGCUGGUUUU
rnacentral:lncRNA from 1 species